CCCGUAAGCAGGUUCCCACCUAAAGAAAGCCCUUGCAAAUUAGGAAAUCUAUUACACAGAUCUGACGGGAGAUUACCACUGAGAAGAUUAACGGAGAGGUCAAUGAGUUGCAGCGAAGAAGUGUUGACUGGAAUGGACGGUAUCGAAUCAGAGAGUUUGUUGUUGCUUAGAUCAAGUUCUUGCAAUGAAGAUAGGUUGAAAAUUGAGGGAGGUAUGGAACCUGAAAUCUGAUUAAAGGAGAGGUCAAUGAGUUGCAGCGAAGAAGUGUUGACUGGAAUGGAGGGUAUCGAAUCAGAGAGUUUGUUGUUGCUUAGAUCAAGUACUUGCAAUGAAGAUAGGUUGAAAAUUGAGGGAGGUACGGAACCUGAAAUCUGAUUAUAAUCUAAGACCAAUAUCUCUAACUUGGGUAAAAAGCACAGAGAUGAUGGGAGUACACCUGUGAAGUUAUUACCAUACAGAAACAAGUUUUGAAGUUGAGUAAAGGAACCGAACCAUGACGGAAUUUCUCCAUUGAGGUUGUUGUUACCGAAAUUUAUACUGUUCAACCGGUGCAAAUUCGCCAAUUGGUUGGGUAAUGAGCCAUGAAAACUAUUGUUUCUCAUGUUCAGCCUGGAGAGGAAAGACAGAUUUCCCAAGUGAGGUGGGAUGGUGCCGACUAGACCCAUACCAAAAAGAUUUAGAGCUGUGACCCUGAGAUGCUUGGCUCCGCAAGUGACACCGAUCCAAUUGCAUACCGAUGUAGCAGUCGACCAAUUGGUCUCCAAAAGAUUUUGAGGGUCAAAAGUUACAUGGGAUUUCAAUGCAAGAAGAGCCAAUUGGUCUGUGGUGAUAUUGGGUGAUUCUACAGACAAAGAAGUAACAAAGUUAUGAAACAGAAGCACAACAACAAGAGGGAGGAUAAAGCGAGCGUUUCUCAUGAUGAGAUUAUGUGGUUUGAGGAAUGGGGAAUGGAAUGGAAUUCUCAAGGCAACUGCAAUUGGUCACGUAUGAAUUCUUGGUUGCGAAGAAGCACUAUGAUGUUCUCCUAGUUUUAUUGUUAACCAAGUCUGCUUUUGAAAGUCAGUGAACUAAUUAAACCCAAACUGUAAAACACAUUUAACACAAAGCCUGCCAUAGUGCUCGUGGGUGAUUUUCCAGGCAAACAAACAAGAACGAAUAAAAUCUGUGUCCAACCUAUUGGUAGUGAAACUGACAGAAAAUAUAUCUUUGUAAUUCAUUCAAGUAGAUCUGCACAGUAGGGAGAUUAAUAUAAUCCCUUAAUAAUAUAUAAUAUAUGUAAUAUGACUUAAAUAAUGUUAUAAAUUUUGGAAUUUUAAAAUUGCAUCGCAAAUAUGUAAAAUAAUUAUUUUAAAUAAAAUUGAUCAAUCUCCAUAUCUUAUAUUUAUUCUUUGUAAGUAUAAAAAAGUUUUUUUUUUGGAAAAUUAUGUAUAAAAAAGUUUAAACGAGAAACAUUUAAAAAGAGUUAGGAUAAUGUUAUCUUCAUUGCUUUGAUAAUUAUAUCUGUCGCUGCAAUUGAAAUCAAAUCUUCCUUUGAACAAGUUGAAAAAACACGCUGUAAUAAAUUUGCAUUUAUUUAUUUUUUCAUCAACUUGUGUUGUUAAAAAUCCAUUGGCAUAGACUUUGACAGACUCAUACUUCAUGGGGAAAAUGGUGCGGUGUUUCUUUCUCACUUGUCUUCGUUCGAAAAGUCAGUCAAGUCAACUAACUAAAGCCAACCACUUUAACACAAAGCCAAUCAUAGCUCUUAGCUGAUUUUCUACUCAAACAGAAAUAAGUGAAGAAAUAUCGUAUGCAACUGUUUGAUAACGAAACUGACAUAAAAGGAAUCUUACUUCAUAAUUUGUCUAAGUUGAGAGAUUAAUAUAAGCCUCCAAUAAGAUAUAAAUAAAACCACUCGAGUAAUCCAAUGAAUUCAUUGUGUAGUCUUAAAAUUUCACCAUCGAUCUAUUAAGUCUGAAAGGACUAAUCAGUCCAUAUUUUAGAUAUUUUUUAUGUGUAUAAAAAGUUUAAAAAAAAAAGAUUAAAUAAGAACUAAGAUAAUCUUAUCUUGAUUGCUCUGCUUAUGGUUCUGUGGCCGCAAAUGCAAGCAAAUCUUCCUUUGAAAAUUCAAUAAGCUAAAGUCUAGAGCCAAAGGGAAAAAACUCACUACAAUAAAUUUGGUAUUUAAUUUUCUUAACUUGUGUUAUUAAAAAUAUUUUAAUUAGGAUAGAACUUUGCAAAUUACUUUGGCUGCUCUAUACAAUCUUUUAUUAGAAGUAUUUUGGACAAACAACAUGCAUAUAGAGUGACAAAGACUGCACUUUUGUAAAAGCUGUUAAUUAUAUAUGAAAAUGAAUUGCACCCAAAAAGUUUAAACAACUAAUACUAUAGACAUACAUACAUAAAAAUAUAAGGGUUCUUUUUUUAAAUAGGCCCUACGCAUAACGUGUUUUUGACAAUAAACUUCCUCAUAAUUUUAACUAUUUUUAGUCAAAAAAAUUAAAAUUUGAACAAAAUUACCCUUAAUAAAAUCGACCCAUUUAUUUGGCUCCACGUCUCAACCUGAAACCUAUUAAUGGGUCAAGUAUGUUUAGGUUUGCACCUCAAACUAAUUCAUAUUUUUUGAGCUUUCCUCACCAGACUAUUAAUCUCUAGAGUAUUCCUUACUAGAAAGAAAAACGUUUAAGCAUUUUGAGCAUUUUGGAAUAGUUUUUGAUACAUGAAAAAAACCUAUGAGCAUUUUAAGCAUUUUUAAACAUUUUGGAGUGUUUUUUGAUAUAUGAAGAAAAACUUUUGAACAUUUUGAGCAUUCAUAUUCGUUAAUUAUGUUGUUAAAUGGAAUAUGGUGUAUCGUUUGAAGUUGUUGAUCUUGUUAAAUGGAAUUUAGUAGUUUUGGUAUUUUUAAGAAUUACAUGACUAGUUUUUAAGCAUUGUGUGACUAACUUUGGAUAUUACGUAACUGACUUUGGGCAUUACGUGACUAAUUUUUUAUAAAGUAUUGCGUGACUAGUUUCUAACAAGGCAUUGCGUGACAAGUUAAUAGGCAUUGCAUGACUUGUUUCUGAUAAGGUAUUGCAUGACUAGUUGAUAGGUAUUGCGUGACUAGUUUUUGAUAAGGCAUUGCGUGACUAGUUUCUGAUAAGGCAUUGCGUGACUAGUUGGUAGGCAUUGCAUGACUUGUUAGUAAGGCAUUGCGUGACUUGUUAGUAAGGCAUUGCAUGACUUCUUAGUAAGGCAUUGCGUGACUAGUUAUUAAAGCAUUGUGUGACUUAGGUAUUACUUAAAAAUCAAUCACGCAAUGCCUAAAAACUAGUCACGCAAUGUCUAAAACUAUCGUAAUAUGCAAGUCCGGGAACCCGACCGCCAGACGCGAGUGAAAACUCACUAAAAAAUAGGAGUUACCACCAAUCUGUUUUGCUAGGUGUGAUUGGUCACCUAUUAACUCGAUUCUAAUCGGCAGAGUCUUAAUUAGAUUUAAGCCCACCAAAAGAACCUUAAACUAGUCUACGUUUUUUUCAGAUCUAGGCUCGGGAGUACGGUUACGCCCGGAGAAGGAUUAGCACUCCCGGAACGCCCAUUACAUGAACGGUACCAUUUUUGGAUUAUCUUAUUAGACUUUAAUUUUUAAGUUCAUUUUAUUUCCUUAGCUAUUAUUCACUUAUUUUAUCUCCUAUUUAACCUAAAAUGGAAUGCAAAUGUGAAGUAAGAUGAAAUGCAUGGUGUAAGAUAAAAAUGUCAAACGAAUAACCUUUUAUCGAGAAUAUUUUCUCGAAUCCACAUAUCAUAUUGGUGGGACUCGGGGUAUUCUCUCACCUAGGAAAUUAUUCGAGAAAUUCACCUUCGCAAUUUCGACGAAUAAAUCCCGUCACUGGGGUCAUCGUACGUUUUCUUUUAAAAUAAUAUUUUCGUGCAUAAUGAACCUAAUUCGGACAAAAGUCUUUUAUUAAGGAUGUUUCUCGAGCCCUCCCAUCAUACUGGUGGGAUCCGAAGACAUCUUUUCACCUAAGAAACUUUCCGAGCAAUACCCGCCUUUGCAAGAUCCUCGGAAGAUCCCAUCAUCGGGGCUUAAACUCGAAAAUAGAAAUAUUUAUAUGCAAUGAUAUGCAUGAUGCAAUAUAUAUGUAUGCUAUGCUAAUGCAAUUAUCUAUUUUUUUAUUUAUUAUUAUUUAAUUAUUAUUGUCAUUUUAUUUUUUAUUAUCACAUUUUCUAUUUUAUUUCUUAUCAUUAUUUUUUCAUACUUUACAUUUUUUAUUCUAUUGUUAUUUAUUUAUUAUUUUUAUUGAAUAAUUUUUGUAUAGUCAAAUUCUUUAUUUAUUAAAAUUUCGGGAUCCUGAAAUCGAGGUCCUCCCAUCGUACUGGUGGAGCCUUGAUUCGGAUUCCGAACCUAGGGAAUAUGGGCUCGAGAUUACGACUUCUCGUGUCCCGACCGAUCAUCCCAUCAUCGGUACAUUACACUCGUAAUCAAUAUCUUGAUGUUUUAUAUCAUUUAUAUUUGUUUAUUUAUUAGUUAUUUUAUUAUUAUUUUAUUAUAUAUAUAUAUUUUAUAUGGACCUCACUUUCCUAAUUUUAAAUAUUUUUAACAGGUACUUUCCUAUAUUUAAAUUUUCCUUAACUAAAUAUGCAAGUUUUCUUAUUUUUAUGUUAUAUUAUUUAUAUAUAUAUAUAUAUAUAUUCCUUUAUAUAUAUUGCUCCCUUUAUCUGAAAAAUUACCUCUUAAAAAUCUUAAAAAAAAACAUUAUAUUAAAGUACUCCAAUCCUAAUCCUAAAUAAUUGAAUAAUAAAUCCGAAAGCUAACAAAAUGAACAAACCCAAAUUAUUGCAGACCUUAAUAACAUGGCAAAGAGUUUACCUUUAUGGGCUCAAUACCCACUCAAUUUUGUCCACUUGCUUCUCUGCGGCCCAAAUCCUAUUCACAGAGAGCCCAGAUUGGGAGAUGGCCCGCUUACCCACUUCAUGGACUCAAUUCCUUCUCUCCCAAAACGGUGCCGUUUCUAGCUGCAACCCUUUUUCAAAACGGUGCCGUUUUGAUUUAUACCUAGGUAUAAAAACCCCUUCUUCAUACUUUCAUUUUCUGCCCCAAUUUUCUGUCUCUACCACUGGACCCUUUCCUCUCUCUCUCUCUAGAAACUUCCUUCUUUCCUUUCACCGGUCACCCAAAGACUUUCCCAUUCCAGGCACCGGUCAGCUCUUUCUCACUACCCCUCUCUACCCUACCGCUGACCACCCAAAGCUCCAGAUCCCUCCAAACCGCCGAUCGUCUCUCUCUCUUUCUCCCUGAAUGUCGCUCGGUCCUCUCUCUCUCCCCUAAUCAGCGCCGAUCGGGCUUCCUCUCUCUCACUCUUCUCUUACUGGUGCAAACCCGGGCCCCAACUCUCUCUCUCUAAAACGAGCAGCACCCCAAAAUUGGACCAAGAUCUUUGAUUUCCACAACUGGCGACAGUUAAUCCCAGUUUGAAACUCACCAAAAACCCCAAACCCGACUAUCCAGCCAACAACACCUAAAACUUUUUCCUUUUCUAAACUUUUCCCCAACCGGCAGCACUCAAAGAUGCCCCCUCAUGAUCUCUUUUUUUUUUUUUUUUAUAUCUGGAUUGUGGUAUUUUUUUCGACUGCUAAAAGGUUGCUAGGGAUUUUUGGUUGCUGGUUGCUAGGAUUUUCUAGGUUUGCAGGUUGUGGCCCUUUGAUUUUUUUUGUUUCUGGCUACAGUGGGGCUUUAUACACUCAACUUUUUGGCCGAGUGUAGUGCCUCCACUACCCUACCAGACGCGAGGUGCCUGGCAGGGUGCGUCCGCACCCUGCCUGUCGUACCCCUCUCUCUCUUCUAUUUUUUUACUUCAUUUUUUAUUUUCAUUAUUUUUAUUUUUUUGUUUAUUUAUUGUUUAUUUAUUGUUUAUAAAAUUUUAUUAUAAAUUUUUUAGUGUCUACAAAAACUAAUCACGUAAUGCCUAAAAACCAAUCACGAAAUGCUUAAAAACGAAUCUCGCAAUACUUAAAAACCAAUCUAACUAAUUUCAAUUCCUUAACUUUGAGAUUCUAUGCAUAAACCAAUGAACUCAAGAACCUAAAACAUGUACUUUUUUUUUUUGCUAAGCCAUGAAAUUGUGCAUUUCAUAAAAGAUAGGUUACAAAACUCCAUAACCCUCCAAAGCAAAACAAAAUAAAUCCCUAUCGGGGAGGGCCUUGCUCACUCCCCUUAUGCAAAAAUAAAAUAUACUCCCUUUACAAAAUAUUUCUUGAACAAUUUCAAUUCAAAAUCUCAUAAAAAAAAAUCAAAAUCUUCAGCAAAUAUGCUUAACAAUCAUCCCAAUAUCAGACACAACAAAAUCAUGAACCAUUAUAAAACUCAUCAAACAUACUUCAGCUAUUUCUUUUCCCUAAACCCAUCAUCUUAACUAAUCUGAUCCAACUCAUCAACAAAGGCAUCUCCAUCGUAGCACACAUUUCGAAACAAGUCAUCACCAGAAAACAUCUAAUUACCAAAUUCAUCACGUUGCCUGUAAUCACCAUAGAAGAGUAAAAUCGUUGUUCAUCGUCCUUGAGAACCCCAAGAUCCACUAUCUAAAAAAAUAAAAUAAAAUAAGAAAGAACUAGAUAUCAUCUCCGAAUGGCAAGAUAAACAGUAUUUGACCAAAGAGAGAAAUCGAAAUUUAAUUUUAAAAUUUUUAUCUUGAUGGCGGGAUAGAGAAAAUGAAACCACUUUAACUUGUUUGAAAUUGUUUAAAGGGUAUUGUUGUCAAGUCAUGUCAAAAAUUAGCUAAAACUAGUUAAAAUUAUAAAAAAAAUGAUAUUUUUGAAUUGAGCUUAUGAGGAAGGUUAUUUUUCACAAUUUCCUCAAAAUAUAACAUAAGAUAUAACACAUUUUCUUUGUAAAAAAUAAGGGAAAAAUAAAUUUCACAUUUUCUUACAAUUUUUUAUACGUGAAGAAAUAAUUCAUUUCAUCAGAGAUCGCAUUAAGGGAAAUAGAGAAGUAGCAGAAACAAAACAAACCAAGGUAGCAGAGAGAAUCCAAACACUAAAUGCAGAAAAAACUAAAUACAGAAAAAGCAAUCGACUUAAGGGCAUCAGAUUUAGCAAGACCACGAUGUAGCUGAGGAAGGCCGAUUGCCACUUGUGCCGCGAGAAUUCUUACUAUAUAUAGUUGACAGUUCCAGAGAAAGAAGGCUUGGGAGGCAUUUCAAGGAGCUCAACUUCACUUUCAAGCACCUUCAAGACUUUUCUUAUUGAAGGACGAUCUGUGGGCUUCAUCUGUACGCACCAUAAGGCUACUAUUACCAUUUUCCUCAGAAUUUUGUUUUCAAUUUCUGUCACAUCUCCAAGCUCCAUGAUAUCUCCUUCGUCUAAUCGAUCAUAAAUCCAUGAUGAAAAAUAAAUUUGACUUAAAUGUUCGGUAAAGACAUUCAAAUUUUUUCUCCUUCCGAUAAUUUCCAUUACCAUCAUUCCAAAACUAUAAACAUCGGCUUUAUAUGAUAUACCUCCGGUAUUUUAUAAAACAAUUCAGCAGCCAUAUAUCCUAGCGUACCUUGUGCUGCUGUGAGAGAAAUAACAUCAUCAUCCACUGAAUACAAUUUUACACAGCCAAAAUUUGAAACUUUUGGAGUAAAAUUCUUGUCUAGAAGUAUGUUAUGUGGCUUGAUAUCAAAAUGUAAGAUUUGCAAUUCACAGCCUCUAUAUAAUAUUCAACACCUUGAGCCACUCCCAAUGCAAUCUUAAACAUUUUUUGACAACUCAAAGUGUUAUUUUCAAUUGAAAAUAUAAUUUUAUCCAAGGACCCAUUCUUCAUGAAUUCAUAUACAAGAGCUUGUUUUGAUCCCUUCAUGCAAAAUCCAAUAAGUCUUACCACAUUAACAUGAUGAAUCCUUCCAAUAGUUGCAACUUCAUUGAUGAAAUCUUAGCCAUUAGCUUUUGAUUUGCUUAACAAUUUUAUCGCAACAAGUUGACCACUUCAAAGUUUUUCUUUAAACAUAGAAUAAUAUCCUCCUUGACCUAAUUUAUUCUUGAAGCCAUCCGUCAUUCUUUUUAUUUCAGAAAAAGAAUAUCUUAUAGGCAUUAAAUUGUUUUGAUUUUGAAGAAAAUUCUCAAUCUCGUCAUCCAUCGAUAAAUACCUCCUAUUUAAUUCGUGUAUAACAAAUACAAUCAAGCAAGUUAUCCCCAAAAAUGUUCUUAAUAAUAUAAUUCCUGUUUCUCGAAAAAAAGAAAAAAGAGAGUACAAAACAAAUAUAUAAAUCAAUUAGUUGGACAACAAGAUUGUAGAAUAUGUGCAUGCUAGUUACUAAUUUAAUUUGCGUAUAUGCUGCCAAAUUUCACAAGCAAACUUCAUAAAAAAAUUUGAGAUAAGGUUCAAAUUUAUCACCACCCGACCUAAGGUAAUGGAUCAAAUUUACUAUUUAUUUUUUCAACAAGUGUAAUAUUUAUCAUUGUACAUUUUCGUUCAUUUUGUAACUUUUGAUCACUUUUAACAAAUUUAAAAGUAUAUUGACAAAAUUGUAUGCAUUCAAGUAUGGUGAUAAUUUGGUUCAUCACCCAAAGUAAAAUGAUAAACUUGGACAUAAUUUUUAUUUGGACCAAAAAACAUUGUAGCAACAUAAAAAUACCUAACUGAAAAAAACCCAAUGAAUGUAGUUCAAUAUUAUUCAUGAAUUAUUUAUAGUAUAUCGUCUCUUAUUUAAUAAUUUUAUCCUUUAUUGGAAUCUCUUUAUACAUACAUAUACUUUAUAUACAAUACUCAUACAAACUAUAUAAAUUUGAGGGCUCAAGUUGCAAAUUAAUUAAGUUUUACACCUUUUUAUAAUUUCAUAUACUAUUCGUACUCAUCAUUACAUAUAAAAUUUCAAAUCAAUGUGAUAAUCCAUAUCAUACAUAUACAACGUCAAUGUCUCUAAAAUAAAGAGAAAAUAAUUUUGGUGGAUAAGGCAACCUAAAAGUUACGUGUAAUUAAUGACACCACCUACAGCAGAGAGAAAAUAAAGAGAGGGAAUAUAUUUUCUUUCAAUGCGUUCGUGCCCACAACCUAUUGUUCCACCUACCCACCACGUUAUCAAUGUUAAUUCUGUAAAGCGACUUGAUGAAUCCAAGCACAACGAAAGGUUCAAGGCGGUAAUGCACACGGAUUCCAUCGACUGCUAUUGUAGUUCCUUUAGACAUUUUUUGGAAUGUCUCAACAUAUCUUUAAUCUAUUGCUAUAUUCAUAGUAGUUACCAUUUAUAUCGUAAUAUCAAACUCAUUGAGGAAAAUGUUGGUGAUUUAUUCUCUAUAAUCUGUUUUCUAAACCUUCUUAUUGGACAGAAAGACACUUUGGAGAAAGCCUAGUAAUCAAUUUGUUUUUAAAUUGACUUCAAAAAAUUUCACGUUAUCUUAGCUUGUGAGUUGUUUUUAACAAAAUGUGUUUUCAAAUUUGGAAUUUAAAUAAUGCAGUCCAAGUGGGAGAUUAUUAGAUUUUUUUUCAAAAAAUAAAGGGUAGACUUAAUUUAUUUUACCUUUUUUUUUUAUAAAAAAUGGGUUAAGCUUAUUUGAUAUUGAUAAAGAGACAAUAUUAUAAUUCCUAAUAUGAUCUAAUAAAGAGGAGUAGACUCCAAUAUUAAAUAUGAGCUUAAGAGUAUAGACCUGUGUAGAAAAUCUUAAAUUUUAUAAUGGGUAGGACUAAGGAUUUAUCAUAUAAAAGUAAAGCAUAGGUUCUCUCUCUUUCUACACCAAAAAUAUUAAGUUUCUUAUCCAUUCAAAAGUUUUUAGAUUAAAGGAGGAAGAUUUUAGGGCAUUGAAUCUCAGCAAUUAAUUUAGUUAGUAUUAUUACCAUUGUGAAAUCAUGUAUCAUGAAUCAAAUGCACUUUUAUGUUCUAAAUUCCGUUAUGGUAUAUUCUGAGUUAAUUAAAUUAAUUAUACUUCAAGAAAUAAAGAAAUAAAGAAAUUUAAUAAAGGAUAUUGAAUAUGGAAGAAAACUACCUUGGUAUUUCCAUUUCACAAUGAUGUAUUUAUAGUACAAAGAUGAUAAAAUAAGAUAGUUAUCAAAAUUCUAAUUGAAAGAUAGGUUUCGAAAUUCUAGUUUAGAUAAAACAUAUCUCAUCUAUAGAUUUAAAUAUAUCAUCCUUAAUAUCUAUCUAUGUCAUCCUUUAUACUUGUCUUUUGUUCUUAAAUUGACCUUUAUCUGCUUGUUGAUUGAAGAUUUAGCUUUAUCUAUAUGUUGAGUUAACUAUUGCUAUUUGUAACUCCAAUAUGCCCUCGUAAGAUGGUGGCACUAUUAGUGACUCCAAUAUUGGAUAGAAGGAACUAGAACCUUGCUUUGGUAGCGAUUUAGUAAGUGCAUAUGCUAAUUGAUGUUCUAUGGGAAUAUAAUUGUCGUGAAGUUGCCCUUGUUUCACUUUUCCUUUUACAAAAAAUUUCUAUCGCAAAUGUUUCAUCCUCGUAUGAAAGAUUGAGUUUUUGCAAGUGUGAGUGGCACCUAUGUUAUCACAGUACAUAGUGGGACAACUAUGUAAGAUUAUCUGAGGUUCUUGAACGAGAGAUUGAAUCCAUGUUGCUUUUGAAACAAUAGGUGCAAUAGCUUGACAUCCAGUUUCUGUAGAGGACUUAGCUACUGUCUUUUGUUUCUUUGAACUUUAAGAGAUUGAAGUGCUUCCAAGAUAUAUGAUAAAGGCAAAAAUAAAGGUCCUAUCUUUAGGAUUUCCUGCCCAGUCAGAAUCUGUGAAGACUUGCAAAGAUGGAGUAGUUUCCUUUUUUAAUGAAUAAACUAUAGAACAAGGUUCCUUUGAAGUAUCUUAGUACUCUCUUCAAUGCUUGAUAAUGUAGCAUUGAUUGUUUAUGCAUAAAUUGAGAGAGUUUGUUAACAACAAAACAAAUAUCAAGUCUAGUAAGAACAAGGUACUAGAGAGAACAAACAAUUUUCCUGAAUUCCUCGUCGUUGGUUGCUGUAGAACUAUCAUGUAAACUAAGUGGAGCUAUAAUAGAGAUUGGUGUAUUUGAUUCUUUUGCACCAGACAUACCAACUAUGAUUAGAAUAUUUGAGAUAUAUUUAUGUUGAGAUAGAAAAAGACCUUUUGGUGUAGGAAAAACUUCAAUGCCAAGAAAGUAGCUUAAGAAACCAAGAUCUUUGAUUAUAAAUUGUGAUAAAUUUUGGUGUAGGAUAAACUAAAAACACAAGAAUUUACGUGAUUCGAUCUUUUGAUGACCUACGUCUACGGGCACAGCAAUAGAGAAAAAUUCAUUAAGAGAACAAUAAGGAGAUUACAAAAACAAUCUCAAACUCACAACCCUUAUCCCAUAUACACCCAAAUCACUCUCUCUAAAUCUAGGUGAUGAUUAUUCUUUAACCCUAUAGGGUUCUUUUAUAGUAUAAUAAUCUUUAUCGUACUAUAAUUAAGAAUUGUUAUUCUAAUCUAACUAGAUUUAAAGACUAUUAAAUAAGGUAUAUUAGUUUAAUUAGAAUUAAACAAUCCUAAUUAAAUCACAAUUCAAGACUACCCUAACAAUUGUCAAAGCUAUAUCGGCCAAAACAUGAUUGCAUGGACACCCACCGGUAAGUUCUCUAUUCUUAAGAAAAAACGAUGCAAUGCUGACAACAACCUAGAAAAAGAAUCACCUAAUUAAACAAGGGAAUUUUUGCAGAGCUAAAGCCUGUAAUUUCUAGAAAGAAUACCAACACACUGUAACACCCCGUACUGUCGUUUAACCAUCAAUAAGACCCUAUCGAUUAAACAAAGAGUCACUUGAUGUAAAUUAAGGGUCAAAAAGCGGUUACGAGUGAAAAGAAUAUUUUAAAAUAAAAUAUUAUUUUCUGUAUAAAAUAAUAUUAAAAUAUUAAUAUUUUAUCUAUUAUUGAAAUUAGUCAUGAAAAAUGAUAAUAUGAUUGAUCUAAGUUGGGGAGAAGAAAUAAGAAAGAAUUUCAAAGAAAAACAAUGAUAAUUUUGUCUGCGUGAUUUUAUUAAAUCGAGUUAGCGCGAGUAAGUAAAUAUUUAAAAUAUUAUGGUGACACCGCGUUGAAUCGCAAUUUCGAUAUUCUGAUUGUACGAGUGUAAAGGAAGAGAGAUAGAUGGAAAUUAAAAUUUUUAAAUGCAUCGAAAAGAUCAAAUUUUAAAAUACGGAAGUUGAAAGGUUGUGUAGUAAAUAAAAUGAAAUUGAGGACUCACAUGUAAAUUUUAAUAAUUAAAGGAAAUAAAAUAAAUACUAGCAACAAUAAAAAAAAUUAUUAUAAAAGAUCACAUGGGCAGCUGCCCAUGUGUGGGAUAAGGAGGCCAAAAUGUAAUAUUUUUUUAAGUUAAAUGAUGGUAGGGGCCGACUUAAGAACACAAGGGAGAGAAAACAAAAAAAAAAAAGGGGCCGGUCAAGUGAUAUAGAAGAGAUGAAAGAGAGAAAGGCAAAGAAAAGUCAAAGCCAUUUAAAGGAGUAGUAGCCAGAUUUUAGGGAGAAAGAAAGAAGAAGAAAGGAAAAACGAGUGGGGGAACAUUGACAAUAAACUUGUCAUUGACGGCCCCACCAUGAAGCCAUAUCAAAUACAACUUUUCUUUGUCUCUUUCAUUUUAUCCUUAGCCAUUUUGGGAGAAAAAGAGAAAGGGAGAAAGAGCCGAAAUGUGAGAGAGAAAGGAGGAAGUGUCACGGGUUGAAGGGAGAGUUUCUUGGGUGGUUGUAGCAGGUCUUGAGGGGAGAAACAAAGCAAAGAGGAAGCCAUUUAUGGAGCUAAAUAAAAAAGGGAAAGAAGCUGAUUUUUGAGAGGAAAGAGAAACCUUGUGCUGCUAGAUUUUUGGGAAGGAAAAGAGAGGAAGCUGGGUUGUUAUGGUGACCAGCGGUGAGAGUGAAAGUAGAGAGCUUGCUGCCGGCGUUGGGAGUGAAAGAGGAAGGAGGAAGGAUGAAGGCUGUAGCAAAAAGGGUGAGAAAGAGAUCGGGUGAAGGAAAGGUAAUGGGGGCAUAAAAGGAAAAAUAUAUAUAAUAAAAUAAAAUAAUAUAUAUAUGUAUAGUGGGUUUCAAUAUUUAAGAGAAAUGAGUAAAGGUGGUACAUUGUGGUGGCAGGCCGAAGGAAAUAACGAGCGACCAGUAAGAAGGAAUAAGUAGAUACAUUUUUGAAUUAAUAGCGACGUAACACCCCGCUAUUGUGAGGUGAGUAGGGGGUGUCAAUUUUAAAAUUCUCAUAAUAGUAUAAAAGUAUGUAUAUUUUAUUUUAGAUGCAAAAUUGUGGAUAACAUGUGCUGGUAGAAAUUUUAGGAAAUUGUGAAUGUAAAUUAUUUUCAAAAAUUGUUUUGAAUAUAUAUAUAUAUGUAUAAAUUAUAUGUAAAGUGUUUUCAAAAUGGGAAAACAAGCCAUUCGUACUGUUUUACCCUAAAAUCUGUGCCUUAUAUUUGUGCAAUGUGCAUCCAUGUUUAUAUUGCUUAUCCACCAUGCAAAUUAUUGUUUUGAAAUUCAUGCAUAAAUUCAUUUUGAGAAAAUGAUAGAUUUUAUCAUACCCUAUGUUGAAUGCUUUGGAAAUAAUUUUGAGACGAGUUUUUAAGGACAUAAAAUGAUUUCAAAAAAAAAAAAGGCUUUACAAACCGAGGGCAUCGAGAGUAGGCCGAAUGUCAGAUCGGUUAAGUGUGACCCUCGUGCACGAGUGAGCUCUAGCUAGAGAACCUUUGGGUCGCCAACGGGCAGUUAGGCGUGGUGGGGACCACGCCUGUGAUGUAUGUAUGCGUGGCUAGCCCACCAAUGAUUUACACGGUUGCGACCGCCGGAUAUCUCCGAUGUCGGCCAACAUCAUGAGACUGCCAUGGCAUGUGGGAUCCGGUGGAGUGAGGCUCCAAAAUGUUAUUACGUGGUAAUGGGACCACGGGUUUAUUUUCAUUUCCUACUCGAGAGUGGCAUCUCUGGGUUUUCAAAUUUAUAUUUCUUUGCAUGGUGAAAGUGGAAUUUAAUGGUUUUUCUGCAGCUCUCUUAUUUUUACGGUGAAAUGAAUUUUAACUCCUCGAGUGCAAGACAAUUUGUGAUUUACAUAUGAGUUUGAUUAACAUUUGAUUUCAUGGGAGCUUGCUGAAUAUAUUGGUUUGAUUUGAGAAAAAUGUCAAUUGAUCUUAAUGACGGAAUUUUCUUUAUGUAAAAAAUUAUUUUAAUUCAAUAUUUCAAAUGAUUGACUUGAAUAAGGUUAUUGAUCUGUUUUGUAGUGAAAAUUUUUGUCUACCUUGGUUAAUUUACCAAUUGAAGUGUUUAUAAUGCGUAAGAAAUUCUCAGUAUUUCAUAUAAGGCACAAACAUCCGUUUGAAAUAAAUUGUUUUUAUAAUCUUGCAUUUUUAAUAUCAACUGAUCUGUUGUUUGCUUGUUUCACAUCUACGCCCUACUCACGGAGCCGAUGAUCACUGAGUCUGUGAGACUCACACCCCUUUUUAUUUUCCUUUUUGCAGACAGUGAUCAGCCUAGUGAGUAAUCAUCGGAACGUAUGGUCCACCGCAAAUAGGUAAAGGCAUCUCAUAGCAUUUUAUCCCGAGUCACUCCACUGUUAGAGGUUGAGUUGUAGUACUCUGGUUUUACUAUGUAAACAAAUAUUAGUUUUGAUAUAAACGAAGAUUUGGGAUUUUUGAACUCAAUGUAUUUAAUUGUGAUGUCAUGACUUAAAGUCAAAAUUUAAUGGCUAUGCUUAUUAUUGAAUUCAUGUUAUAAAUAUAUAUGGAUCAAACAUUAAUACAGUUUAGUAUAACUGUACAAUGAGUUAUUGAGAAAUUUCUUUUAGGCUUGUUCGGGACUUGACGGGAUCUCCCGGAGGUCUCGGACGCCGGUAGCGACCAAUGAGGGGUCGUUACACGCACGUACUAAUUUUGUACCGUAACCAUAAACCACCUUGUUUUUUUUUUUUCAAAACAGGGAUUUAGUGCCUUUUGAUCAUGAUAAUCAGGUAAAGAUGUUUCAAUUUUUUAGGGUAAAAUUCACUUUUUAAAAAAACUUUUUUAUCAUAAUUAUACAUGAAUCUAUUAAUUUUUAAAAUGAAAACUCCACCCUAAAAGAAUAUUUUCUUUGGACACAUAAGUUUUCCAUUAAUUUGAUGACGUAAUGAUAUUUUUACGAUAAUUUUACUAGUCAUUAAUUUUAAAAAUUAUCACUAUAUAAAACACAAUUUCUCUCUACCCAACAUUCUCUCUCCGUCUCUCACUAAAUUUUCUCCGACAUAGAUGGCAAUGACAACAAACGUUCUUAGAAUGAAUCCGAUUACAGGAACACCAAAUCUAGAUAGAAAAUGCCAGAUUUGGCAUUCUUGCAAUGCGGAUGAGUGUUGAAGGAGCUCCCCGGUGUCAAGGAAUGUUAGAUUUGGCAUUCCCUAACUAGAUCUAGCCACGAAAGAGAUAGAUCCGAUGUUCCCAAGGUCGAAUCUAAUGAGGGAAUGCCAGAUCAAACAUUCUCGCAAUAUUGACGAGCGUUGGCAAGGCUCCUACUACUGAGGAACGAGGAUCUAGCGUUCUUCAGCUAAAUUUGACUAUGAAAGUGACAAGCAUUGGAAGGGCUCCCUAGCCAAAUAUAGUGUUCUUGUGACACCAAGGAGCCUUGGCAAGUCCAAGAUGGUGCUAGGGUAAGGAGCGACAUCUAUUGCGUGAGAGAAAGAAAAAGAGUGAAAAAAGAAGAACAUUUUAAACAUUUCACAUUUAGAUAUUAACAUCGUUUACAAGUUUGGGACAAAGUGAUCAAUUUGAAAACUAAUGGACCUAUAUGUAGUUAUGACCAAAAGUUAAGGGGAUCAAUGUAUUUUGCUCCAAAAAAGUUGUAUCGCGUCUUGUUGAAAAACAAGUUGUCAUAUUAAAAAAUUGUUGCAAUCAUCUCUUAAGGCCUCCGCAAACAGUAGAGAAUAUCUUUCCAGUAAAGUUCUUGAACAUUUUUUUACAAAAUCAUUAGGAAAUGAGACAAAGUUUUGCGAUUCAUCAACAAAAUCAUCUGGCAAAGACUUUUUUAGAAUUUUUUAUGAGAUUUUAUGUCACAACCCGGAAUUCCCAUUGAGCCUGUGACAACUACCGCGAUGUCUCGAUAGGCAUUCAUACCCCGAAUACUGAUCGAAACAUCGCAAGGCUUUCGUACCAGUUUUCUUAUUUCCCCCGUGAGUAAUCAUUCCACAAAUCAUAUUUUAAGAGGAGUAUUUUAUUUUUAUUUUUUAAAAAACAAUAGAAAAACGAUUUACACCUCACAGGGGCACUUUUUUUUUUUUUGCCAAGACUUCCGAAAAUUGAUCAAAUUAUAAAUAUUCAAUAAAAAUAUUCUAUUUUCUUGAAAGGUAAUAUUUAUAGAAAUAACAGUAAAUAGUUUUAUAACGUGAAAACAAAGUAAAUUUACAUAUAGUGUAAUACAGUAAGUCAAAACAUGAACUUAAAUUACAAAGACACGUGAGCUCACAAAUUAACAAAAGUAGUAAAGACAGUGAACCUACUGCUGGUGAGGUUGCAGAGCCAACUGUGGUCCACGACUAACUCAGUUAUCUACACAUUAUGUAACUACCCCUCCUCAGUCACUACCGGCGUCCAAGACCUCUGGGAGAUCCCGCCAAGUCUCGAACAAGCCUAAAAGAAAUUUCUCUAUAACUCAUUGUACAUUUUUACUAAUCUGUACUAAUAUUUGAACCAUAUAUAUAAUUUUAUAAAUUAAAAUUUCAUAAGAAGUAUAGCCAUUAAAUUUUGACUUUAAGUCAUGAUAUCACAAUUAAAUACAUUGAGUUCAAGAAUCUAAAAUUUAUGUUUUUAUCAAAACUAAUAUUUGUUUACAUAGUAAAAUCAAAGUACUACAACUCAAUCUCUAANNNNNNNNNNNNNNNNNNNNNNNNNNNNNNNNNNNNNNNNNNNNNNNNNNNNNNNNNNNNNNNNNNNNNNNNNNNNNNNNNNNNNNNNNNNNNNNNNNNNNNNNNNNNNNNNNNNNNNNNNNNNNNNNNNNNNNNNNNNNNNNNNNNNNNNNNNNNNNNNNNNNNNNNNNNNNNNNNNNNNNNNNNNNNNNNNNNNNNNNNNNNNNNNNNNNNNNNNNNNNNNNNNNNNNNNNNNNNNNNNNNNNNNNNNNNNNNNNNNNNNNNNNNNNNNNNNNNNNNNNNNNNNNNNNNNNNNNNNNNNNNNNNNNNNNNNNNNNNNNNNNNNNNNNNNNNNNNNNNNNNNNNNNNNNNNNNNNNNNNNNNNNNNNNNNNNNNNNNNNNNNNNNNNNNNNNNNNNNNNNNNNNNNNNNNNNNNNNNNNNNNNNNNNNNNNNNNNNNNNNNNNNNNNNNNNNNNNNNNNNNNNNNNNNNNNNNNNNNNNNNNNNNNNNNNNNNNNNNNNNNNNNNNNNNNNNNNNNNNNNNNNNNNNNNNNNNNNNNNNNNNNNNNNNNNNNNNNNNNNNNNNNNNNNNNNNNNNNNNNNNNNNNNNNNNNNNNNNNNNNNNNNNNNNNNNNNNNNNNNNNNNNNNNNNNNNNNNNNNNNNNNNNNNNNNNNNNNNNNNNNNNNNNNNNNNNNNNNNNNNNNNNNNNNNNNNNNNNNNNNNNNNNNNNNNNNNNNNNNNNNNNNNNNNNNNNNNNNNNNNNNNNNNNNNNNNNNNNNNNNNNNNNNNNNNNNNNNNNNNNNNNNNNNNNNNNNNNNNNNNNNNNNNNNNNNNNNNNNNNNNNNNNNNNNNNNNNNNNNNNNNNNNNNNNNNNNNNNNNNNNNNNNNNNNNNNNNNNNNNNNNNNNNNNNNNNNNNNNNNNNNNNNNNNNNNNNNNNNNNNNNNNNNNNNNNNNNNNNNNNNNNNNNNNNNNNNNNNNNNNNNNNNNNNNNNNNNNNNNNNNNNNNNNNNNNNNNNNNNNNNNNNNNNNNNNNNNNNNNNNNNNNNNNNNNNNNNNNNNNNNNNNNNNNNNNNNNNNNNNNNNNNNNNNNNNNNNNNNNNNNNNNNNNNNNNNNNNNNNNNNNNNNNNNNNNNNNNNNNNNNNNNNNNNNNNNNNNNNNNNNNNNNNNNNNNNNNNNNNNNNNNNNNNNNNNNNNNNNNNNNNNNNNNNNNNNNNNNNNNNNNNNNNNNNNNNNNNNNNNNNNNNNNNNNNNNNNNNNNNNNNNNNNNNNNNNNNNNNNNNNNNNNNNNNNNNNNNNNNNNNNNNNNNNNNNNNNNNNNNNNNNNNNNNNNNNNNNNNNNNNNNNNNNNNNNNNNNNNNNNNNNNNNNNNNNNNNNNNNNNNNNNNNNNNNNNNNNNNNNNNNNNNNNNNNNNNNNNNNNNNNNNNNNNNNNNNNNNNNNNNNNNNNNNNNNNNNNNNNNNNNNNNNNNNNNNNNNNNNNNNNNNNNNNNNNNNNNNNNNNNNNNNNNNNNNNNNNNNNNNNNNNNNNNNNNNNNNNNNNNNNNNNNNNNNNNNNNNNNNNNNNNNNNNNNNNNNNNNNNNNNNNNNNNNNNNNNNNNNNNNNNNNNNNNNNNNNNNNNNNNNNNNNNNNNNNNNNNNNNNNNNNNNNNNNNNNNNNNNNNNNNNNNNNNNNNNNNNNNNNNNNNNNNNNNNNNNNNNNNNNNNNNNNNNNNNNNNNNNNNNNNNNNNNNNNNNNNNNNNNNNNNNNNNNNNNNNNNNNNNNNNNNNNNNNNNNNNNNNNNNNNNNNNNNNNNNNNNNNNNNNNNNNNNNNNNNNNNNNNNNNNNNNNNNNNNNNNNNNNNNNNNNNNNNNNNNNNNNNNNNNNNNNNNNNNNNNNNNNNNNNNNNNNNNNNNNNNNNNNNNNNNNNNNNNNNNNNNNNNNNNNNNNNNNNNNNNNNNNNNNNNNNNNNNNNNNNNNNNNNNNNNNNNNNNNNNNNNNNNNNNNNNNNNNNNNNNNNNNNNNNNNNNNNNNNNNNNNNNNNNNNNNNNNNNNNNNNNNNNNNNNNNNNNNNNNNNNNNNNNNNNNNNNNNNNNNNNNNNNNNNNNNNNNNNNNNNNNNNNNNNNNNNNNNNNNNNNNNNNNNNNNNNNNNNNNNNNNNNNNNNNNNNNNNNNNNNNNNNNNNNNNNNNNNNNNNNNNNNNNNNNNNNNNNNNNNNNNNNNNNNNNNNNNNNNNNNNNNNNNNNNNNNNNNNNNNNNNNNNNNNNNNNNNNNNNNNNNNNNNNNNNNNNNNNNNNNNNNNNNNNNNNNNNNNNNNNNNNNNNNNNNNNNNNNNNNNNNNNNNNNNNNNNNNNNNNNNNNNNNNNNNNNNNNNNNNNNNNNNNNNNNNNNNNNNNNNNNNNNNNNNNNNNNNNNNNNNNNNNNNNNNNNNNNNNNNNNNNNNNNNNNNNNNNNNNNNNNNNNNNNNNNNNNNNNNNNNNNNNNNNNNNNNNNNNNNNNNNNNNNNNNNNNNNNNNNNNNNNNNNNNNNNNNNNNNNNNNNNNNNNNNNNNNNNNNNNNNNNNNNNNNNNNNNNNNNNNNNNNNNNNNNNNNNNNNNNNNNNNNNNNNNNNNNNNNNNNNNNNNNNNNNNNNNNNNNNNNNNNNNNNNNNNNNNNNNNNNNNNNNNNNNNNNNNNNNNNNNNNNNNNNNNNNNNNNNNNNNNNNNNNNNNNNNNNNNNNNNNNNNNNNNNNNNNNNNNNNNNNNNNNNNNNNNNNNNNNNNNNNNNNNNNNNNNNNNNNNNNNNNNNNNNNNNNNNNNNNNNNNNNNNNNNNNNNNNNNNNNNNNNNNNNNNNNNNNNNNNNNNNNNNNNNNNNNNNNNNNNNNNNNNNNNNNNNNNNNNNNNNNNNNNNNNNNNNNNNNNNNNNNNNNNNNNNNNNNNNNNNNNNNNNNNNNNNNNNNNNNNNNNNNNNNNNNNNNNNNNNNNNNNNNNNNNNNNNNNNNNNNNNNNNNNNNNNNNNNNNNNNNNNNNNNNNNNNNNNNNNNNNNNNNNNNNNNNNNNNNNNNNNNNNNNNNNNNNNNNNNNNNNNNNNNNNNNNNNNNNNNNNNNNNNNNNNNNNNNNNNNNNNNNNNNNNNNNNNNNNNNNNNNNNNNNNNNNNNNNNNNNNNNNNNNNNNNNNNNNNNNNNNNNNNNNNNNNNNNNNNNNNNNNNNNNNNNNNNNNNNNNNNNNNNNNNNNNNNNNNNNNNNNNNNNNNNNNNNNNNNNNNNNNNNNNNNNNNNNNNNNNNNNNNNNNNNNNNNNNNNNNNNNNNNNNNNNNNNNNNNNNNNNNNNNNNNNNNNNNNNNNNNNNNNNNNNNNNNNNNNNNNNNNNNNNNNNNNNNNNNNNNNNNNNNNNNNNNNNNNNNNNNNNNNNNNNNNNNNNNNNNNNNNNNNNNNNNNNNNNNNNNNNNNNNNNNNNNNNNNNNNNNNNNNNNNNNNNNNNNNNNNNNNNNNNNNNNNNNNNNNNNNNNNNNNNNNNNNNNNNNNNNNNNNNNNNNNNNNNNNNNNNNNNNNNNNNNNNNNNNNNNNNNNNNNNNNNNNNNNNNNNNNNNNNNNNNNNNNNNNNNNNNNNNNNNNNNNNNNNNNNNNNNNNNNNNNNNNNNNNNNNNNNNNNNNNNNNNNNNNNNNNNNNNNNNNNNNNNNNNNNNNNNNNNNNNNNNNNNNNNNNNNNNNNNNNNNNNNNNNNNNNNNNNNNNNNNNNNNNNNNNNNNNNNNNNNNNNNNNNNNNNNNNNNNNNNNNNNNNNNGGACUUUAAAAUUCUUAAUUUCAUUGUAAAUUCUCUAUUUGAUCUAGUUCGAGGCUUAAAUCAACUUUAUUGUACCUCUAGGUACAAUACCGACUUUUGUAAAUUUUUCAAGACUCUCUUAGCAUGUAAACAUGCUAUCCACCACAUGUAUGUCAUCACAAAUAUUUCUGUAGAGUCGGGCUUGUCAUCUUCUCCCCCACUUGGAUCAACCAUAUGAUCCUCCUUCUUGAUUGACUUCGACAUCCGGCUAAAUAUUAAUAUUUUAAUAUUAUUUUAUUAAUAAAAUAUUAUUUUAUUCUAAAAAUUUUAUCUUGUCUCUUUGGUACCCAAAAUACCUUAUUAUGCCUCACUUGACUUCCAAAUCGCCUUUUAUCUCACAAAUUCUCCUCCGAUAAAAUUAUUAUUAUUUUCUCGCUUACGAAAUAUUUUAUCAUAAACUACUCCUUUCGUCUUUUAUCACUUCUAAACAUUUUAAUUGACCUCAAUUUGCAUUCGAUCAACUUUAUUUAUCACCAUAUCAAAGUAUGGGGUAUUUCACUUUACAUAUACUUUAUACAUAUAUAUAUUCAAAUCAAUUUCUAAACAUAAUUUGCAACCACAAUAUCCUAAAAUUGUUACCAGCACAUACUAUUCACAAUUUUCGCGUUUAAAAUAGUUAUACGUAUAGGUAUAUAUAUUUACGAAAAUUUUAAAAUUGGCACCCCCUACUCACCUCAAAAUAGCAGGAUGUUACGUCGCUAUUAAUUCAAAGACAUAUCGAGCUACUCCUUCUUACCAGUAGUUCGUUAUUUCCUUCAGCCUUUCACCACAGUGCACUAUUUAUUUAUUUCUCCUAAAUAUUAAAACCCACUUAAUUAAUAUAUCUAUUUUUUAUUCUAACAUCAUUAUUAUAUAUAUUUUUAUUAUUUUCUUACCUUUCUUUCUCGUUUCUUCCUCUCUCUUCUACUCGUUUUUCUCUUCCUUUCUUCUCCCUCCUUUCAUGCACCAAUCGACUACACUUUCUUCCUCUCUUUCUCUCACCGUCGGUAGCUCUCAACCUUCACUAUUGGUGGCUUGAAGUCUCCUCUCCACUUCCACUGUUGGUCAGCUCUAGAUCAGUCCAAAUAACUCAAAUUUUCUCUCUUUUUAUUCAGCCAUUUUGUCACCAAAAACCAAGCUCUCUCGCUCUCUUUUUCUGUCAACCACCACAACCCAACUCUUUCUCUUUUUCUUUCCUCAAAAUCCAGCAGCAACUUAGCUUUCUUUUCCCUUAACAUUUGUAGCAAAAAUCUCCUCUUUUGACUCCUCUAAGUGGCAGCACAAAUCUCUCUUUCCCAGCUCACACUUGCUCUCUUUUUUCUUCCUCCUUUCUUUCUCUGCUUCUCUCGUUUUUGGCCGGCCUUCUCUCUCUUUUUAUUGCUCUCCAUUUGCUGCUGUUAAGAAGGAAGAAGGAAGAAUGAUUUUCACAUGGAAGGGAGAAAAGAAUGGACAUGACAACUUUUGUCCUUAUCUCCCUUCUUUCAUUCAAUCAUUCUUUCUUUUUUUGUUACUCUUUGCCGACCCCUACCAUCAUUCACCAUAAAAAAGAGAUAGUUUUUAUUAUUUUACUAUUACUUUGACUUUUAAUAAGUCACAUGCAGCCAUCCAUUCUUAUCUUCUCUCUUUUCAUCUUUGUUUCUUCUUUUCAUUAUUCUAUUCUUUCCUCUUUUAAAUGGCCGGCACCCCACUCUUUUAUAUCUUCCAUUGCUUGUUCAAUUACUUCACACAAAUAAUUUGCUUGACUUUCCUUUUUGCUUAGUUGACCGGCCUUUUCAACAUUUGUCUUCAUCAUCACUUUAAUUUCAAUUCCAAUUCCUUUUGUUCAUCAAAUGGUCGGCCCCUACUACCCAAUUCAUUACUUAAAAAAAAUAUUCUUACAAUUAUUAUAUAUAUAUUUUUAUCUCAUAGUUUAAUUAUUUUAUUUCCUCAAAAUAAUAAAGUUUACAUAUAAACUCUCCCCCACUUAAAUUAAACAUAUGCCCAUUUUUCAGACUAAUUCUCGUAAUUGAUAAUAUUUUAUUUUUAAAAUAUUCUUUUCGUCCGUAAUCGCUCUUCGACACCUAAAUUUACACCAAUUGUCCCUUUGUCUUAUUGAUAGGUCUUAUUGAUGAUUAAACGAGGAUACGGGGUGUUACACACUACUUAGGGCUUAUAAUUGGUGAAAAGGAGGGUGGUGAGAUUAAAUAAUCCCAGUAAGUAAACAGACACCAUCUAAACUAUCUAAAGUCGAGUAAAGGGAGACAAUUAAAAACAAUUCAUUUCAAUAAAUUUUUCACAACACGAAUAUUCAUUUCAACCAAAUAAUCAAUAUGGCUCGUGGAUUUCUCAAAACUUGGCUCAUGCCAAACCUUGUACUCGGGGACACCUGGACCAGGGGUAUCCAAUCGAGUCCGCCAAAGCUGUUAAAAAUUCAUAUUUCGCAUAAAACACAUUUUUCGUUGAACAUCACAGCCGUUCCUUGGCAUUGGCUGAGUCUCACUCUCACGAGGUGGUCCAAGUGAAGUGCACUCAAAAAGCCCACCUUAGGAGAUACCCUACGCGCCUCUACGACCAAGGUGAGAAUAUAAAGGAGUUUACCGUACCCCUCUAAUAGGCUGGUACACGAAACCCCGCCACUGCAGUAGCUAAUCUUUUAUCUACCACCUGAUUUAUAAAAUCUUUUUCUGCAUGAUAUGGUAAUUUAUCGCAACCUAGCCUCUCAAGGCUGAAUACAUAAUACAAAUAAUUCUAACACCAAAAAUCAGUUUAGCCAUUCAUGCUCAUAUAUUGUCAUAAGCCAUUCAAUUUAAAACCAUAAAUUUACAACACAAGCAGGCAGUCUCCAAUUACUCUAUUUUCAAAACCAGUAUUCGAUUUUCUAAAAAAUUUAUAAAAUUAUUUUAUAAAAUCGUAAUUUCUCCUAAAACAUAGCAAUUUACUAUUUAAACUCAUUUUUUUUAUAAAAUCACACAAUUGUAUAAAACUACUAUAGAUAAUUAAGACGAUAAUAAGUUUACUCACAGUUCUAAGAGUCGAUGUACUCUUAAUCUCAAUCUUCAAGCACAAUCUCUGUACUUUUAUCAGUGUAAUUUGCUCACCACUUAUCCACAAUGUACAAUACAUAAUUCACCACAUUAAUGCUUGACCAUUAUAAAAUCAAUUCAAGCUCGGUGUAUAUGCAUGAUUUGAAGUGCAAAAUGUCUAAAUUUUGCCUAAACGCGAUGUUAGCCUAUUUCGGUCUUUUACCCGAUAAAUCGAUAUACGCGUUCGUUUAAACUCCAAAUUAAUUUUUUUCAGUUUCUAUACCUCAAUUGCACCCAAAUUGACUUAAUGUCCCUCAAUGUGGUGCAAAUUAUCAGUCCCGACAGCAAAUUACGAAAAUACCCCCAGUGGGUAAAAAUUCAUAUUUUUACUUCAAAAAUUCUCAUUAUUUUUCUAGGCUCAUAAUUCAUCAUUAUUCAUCAUAAUUCCUCAAUUAAACAUCAGGAUCAACAGCCAAUAUUUUCCUAAAAAAUUCGGCCAAUAAUGGUAAUGGAGGAAAAUGAAUUCUUUUCUUGUUGUUUUGUUCCUAAAUAUGUCAAACUAACUAAAAACACUAACAUAACUUUAAAUCAAAUUAAUCUAACUUCAUUCUCUCUCCAUACCCAUUUGGGCAGCCAUGAAUUCACCAUGAAAACAUGAAAUCUAACCAUGGAAAAUAAGGAGAAAAGCAUGGGAAAAGUAGGUCACAAGUCAAAAUCAAAAAAUUUUACCUUUGAUUUCUUGAUUCCUUGAAAUCCACCAAUUUUCCUUUAAUUUUCCCACCUAGGUUUCUUGUUUUUUUUCCUUUCCUCCUUUUGUUCUUCCUUUUUCUUUGUUUGGCCGGCCAUAUGAAAGAGAAUUUUCUGAUCUUAUGUUUAUUUUAAAGUUAAAUAAUUAAUAAAUAUAAACUUGACAUAUGUCACCUUAUUAUUGGUCCAUGUGUCAUUUCUUAACUAUUAAGCUUUCUCUCUCCACCACACAUUAUUCAAGGGUCAAAAAUGAUGAUGGGUGAAGACCUUGUGCUGGAAAAAUGCUCUGGGGGUGCAAAAUUACCAUUUUGCCCCCGGGGUGGUAAAAUUACAUUUUUGCCCCAAAAAUUGAAAAAUUGCCCAUAGACAUAUUUUUCAUCCCUUAUACUCAUACCAUUCUCCAAUUUGUCAAAUGUGAUCUAAAUUCUCUUAAAAUCUCAAAUUUUAUCUGAGAGUGGAAAAAUUACGAUUUUGCCCCUACACUCCAAAAAUCACCGAAAUUAAACUUUUUCACUUCUAAACCUCAAAUCAUACUCCAAUAAGUCAAGUGGGGCCAAAAAAAUCUUUUCUAAAAUUCUCAUUUUGUCCCCAGAUGGCAAAUGACCAUUUUGGCCCUAGAUAGUGAAAAUUUCGAUUUGACUCCAACUUGCUCCUCGAACUCCGAAUUACUAUUUUGAGUCAUCCAUGAAUUGUGAAACUCUUAAUUUCACUUUAAAAUUCCUAUUUGAACUAGUUCGAGGCUUAAUCGACUUAAUGGUACCAUUAGGGGCAAUAUUGUCUUUUAACGAUUCCUCGAACUUCCUAUAUAUGCAAAUAUUCUAUUGAGUAUGUAAAUGACGUCGUAAUUAUUUUAUAGAAUAGGGUUUGACAUUUUACCAAAUUAAAGACGGACGAAAGCAACCAAAAUGCAAAACCAUUUUCUUCCCUAUAGUUCUUUUUCACCUUCUUCUUUCUUUUUUUUCCGCUUUCUCUUUCUUUCAAUUUUGCACCGAAUUUGAAAAAAUUGGAACAUUUUGUUUAUUUCAAGAGGGAUGGAAAAUCUUGAAACAUUCCUUUCCUUUCCUCUAUUUAAAUUCUUUUUAUUAUUAAAAUUUUUGAAAAGGAAGAUGAGUAAACCAAAAACAUCGUUUUGAAUGUUUAAAAGGCAUGAGAGAGCUGGAUGGGCAGUGUUUUGGAUGGCAUGAGAGAGAAAUCUAAAGCAUUUAAUUUGUCUUAAAGAGUUUUAAGAGUAUUUUUGUCAUAUCAUAACAAAAGUUGAGUAAGAACAGUUAACUUUAUAUUCAAGAUUAUUUUUUAAAUAAGCUUAUGAGGUUGGCUAUUUUUCACAAUUUACUCUAUUUUUAAAUUUCAUAUUUUGACUGCCUUGUAUGGUAUUGCAUCUGUAUGCUAUAUCUGGAGAUGUUGACUAUGUGCAAGCAAGGGAGUUACCUUGCCCUAUUUUGAGUUUUUCUGGAGUCUAUAUUUUUAGUAGCCCUGCGUGGAAUUUUCCUUUGUUGCUAUUCUGGUGGGAGCACAUUACACAAGAAGGGAGGUUAUUUUUGCUUUGCCAUUAUUAGAACUUUUCUGUCCUGCAGAGUCUCAAGCUGUUAAUGUCUGUUAUGGUGUUGUGUUGCUGCUUCAUUUAAAUUUCUGAGGAAUGAUGUUAUGUAUUUGUAGUCAUGUGUAUGAACUGAGUAUUUGUGCAAGGUGGUCAAAUCCCUUUGUCUUUUCUCAUGGUCUGGCUCUUUGCCGAUGACCAAUUUCAUGUACCAAUUCUUAAAUACAUAAUACAACUUACUUUUGGCUGAGAAAAAAAAAAAAUUCUUUACUUGCUUUUGUGUAGCAUGCAAAUUUUUUUCAAACUAUUCAACAUCUUCAUUUUUUUUUUGUUUGUCUUACUUCAAGCCAUGUAUAUAUGUAACCAAUCCACAUGAUGCUUACAGACAUUAGACAUACACACACACACACACACACAUAUAGCUUACAGACAUAUAUGACAAUAAGAGAAACAUGCUGGGAGAUAUCAUCCCCAAACUUUGUGACUACUGCACUUGUCCAAUGCUUUAUCUGAGUUUACAUAGAGUGGAAAAAGAAAAAAUGCCUUCUUUAUAUAAAUUUCAUGGAAACUGGAAACCCUAUUUGUGGUCUUUUAUUAAUUAAAAUUUUUUAACUUCUUGUAAGAACGUGACUUUGAUUUUCUUCAAUCUGGCAACAACUUGUUUCAUAUCAAUCCUCUUCUCUGGUAACUCCAUUGAACAUUCCAGCGCCAAUUGCAAAAUGGAUAACACACACUCAUUCGCUGCUAAGCUUUCACUUUUUCCGUUAUUCAGCAAAUUAGUGUCUACAACAUGAACUACUGCAUAUGGUAAUGACUCUUCCACCCAACACUUCAAGCUCGUCUCUUCCACAAACAUUUCAUCCGUGGGCUUCUUUCUUGUGAAGGUUUCCAUAAGAAGAAUACCAAAACUAUACACAUCACCUUCUGUAGAAUUAUAAUCCCUUCUGAUCCAUAUUCUGUUUUGAAAAUUAAUUUGAAUUCAUCAUAAAAAAUAUUCAUUGUUUUUGCAAGAUAAUGAAAAAAAUACUUAAAAUUUAGUGAUGAAUCUAAAGACAACAUAUACGCAUGCAUGUUCAUGUAAACAUAUAAGAGGAGAAAUAUAAAUCAUCUAAGAGUGAGAAUAAAAUAAAACCAUCACCUGGUGACAUAUAUCCGAUAGUUCCUAGCGUCAUGGUUUGAAUUAAAUCCUCUUCUCCUAAGAGUUUUGCAAUGCCAAAAUCACCCAAAUGGGCAAUCAUAUCUUUAUCUAGGAGGACAUUGUUAGGCUUUAAAUCGCAAUGAACUACAGGAGGGGUAUGACCAUGAUGGAGAUACUCCAAUGCGGAUGCGAUGUCUAUCAUUAUAUUCAACCUUUGUGAAAUAUCCAGAAAAAGGUUGUGAGAAUAGAGCCAGUUCUCCAAGUUUCCAUUAGGCAUGAACUCAAGUACCAAGGCUUUAAAAUCAAUAUUAGAGCAACUACUGAUGAUUUUGACCAAAUUCCGAUGGCGGAUGUUGCGAAGGACCUCACACUCAACAUCAAAGCUUUUAAGAGCUCUAUCAAGAGUUACAUUGAAGACUUUUACUGCAAUGCUCAUACCAUUUGAGAGAGUCCCUUGGUAUACUGACCCAAAACUCCCUACUCCAAGUAAAUUGCUUUCAGAAAAUCCAUCUGUAGCUUGAUCCAGCUCAUGAUAAGAAAUUCUUCUCCAUUCAGCUAAUACUAGCAAAUUUUCUUCAGUUGGCACUGCAGCUUUCCGAUUUCGACGUCGUAAAAAAGUUAUAACCAUGGCCAAUAUCAAUAUUAUUGAGCCAAUUGCUGGUAGAAUAUAUUUUAAAAGCUCAGUACCCAUCUUGGACCUUCUAGAGGGAUUCGUUUUGCAAGGUGGGACUUGCAAUCGAGGUGAACCACACAAGGCUUUAUUCCCCAUAAAUGAUUGAAUUGAGUAGUUGCCAAAUGAUCCUCCACUAGGAAUUUCCCCUUCUAGUCUAUUGAAAGAGACAUUGAAAUAUUUGAGAUAGGAAAGUUGCUCCAAGGACUUGGGGAUCAUUCCUGAGAGAUUAUUUCUUGACAAAUCCAAGAAUUCCAAACUUAUUAACUCACUUACAGACUCAGGAAUAGAACCCUGUAAGACAUUACCAGAAAAGGAGACAUGAGUUAAGUCUUUGAGAUCACCAAUGCUGCUUGGGAUAGAACCUGAGAACUGAUUAUCUGACAAAUUUAAAUUGGUCACGACCUUCCACUUUCCAAUAUCUGGGAGAGAGCCGCUUAGAGAAUUUGAAGACAAUUCUAGGAACAAGAUACCAUCAAGUCUUGUCAAGGUUGACGGUAUUGAGGUAAAAUUAUUGGAGUCUAAGAAAAGAUUUCUUAGAGAAACGACAUCACCUAAGCAUGAUGGAAUCGGUCCAAAUAGUUUGUUACCUGCGAGAGACAAGUACGCCAACUUCUCCAGAUGACAUAACUCAAAUGGAAUGGAUCCUUCAAGCCUAUUGUUUCCAAGAUCGACAUUUUGCAAAUCUCUCAAUCUUCCGAUUGUAGUAGGUAUUUUUCCAGUCAAGUCAUUGUGGUCAAGACCCAACCAUAACAACCUGGUUAAGUUACCAAUUUCUCUUGGGAUGCUGCCCUUAAUGUUGCAAAGAGAAGCAUAGAAAAGGGUUAGAGAAGCAGAUAAAUUUCCAAGAGCAGCUGGNNNNNNNNNNNNNNNNNNNNNNNNNNNNNNNNNNNNNNNNNNNNNNNNNNNNNNNNNNNNNNNNNNNNNNNNNNNNNNNNNNNNNNNNNNNNNNNNNNNNNNNNNNNNNNNNNNNNNNNNNNNNNNNNNNNNNNNNNNNNNNNNNNNNNNNNNNNNNNNNNNNNNNNNNNNNNNNNNNNNNNNNNNNNNNNNNNNNNNNNNNNNNNNNNNNNNNNNNNNNNNNNNNNNNNNNNNNNNNNNNNNNNNNNNNNNNNNNNNNNNNNNNNNNNNNNNNNNNNNNNNNNNNNNNNNNNNNNNNNNNNNNNNNNNNNNNNNNNNNNNNNNNNNNNNNNNNNNNNNNNNNNNNNNNNNNNNNNNNNNNNNNNNNNNNNNNNNNNNNNNNNNNNNNNNNNNNNNNNNNNNNNNNNNNNNNNNNNNNNNNNNNNNNNNNNNNNNNNNNNNNNNNNNNNNNNNNNNNNNNNNNNNNNNNNNNNNNNUCGUUGGUUUAGCCAUUUAUAUAAGCAAAGGAGGAAGAGAAGAUAUGGGAUGCAUAGCUAGCUAGAUACAUCGUCGAGACUCGGUUGUUCACAUGAGGAGAAUCUUUAGCCCAAACAGACGGAAAACUUUGCCAAUAGGGGGGCGGGGCCUUCGAUUUCCACAUGGGUUCCAAGAUCGGACAGGGACAUGUCGACGCCAAUGCCAUGCCAAUCUCCUUAUCCCUUCAUCAUCUACAUAGUCUUCGUCGCUUCCUCUCCCUCCCGAUAAAAAGAAGAAUUUGAUAGUUCCAACUUUCUUUCUCUCCAUGUCUUUUCUUUUUUCUUUUUCUUUUUUUUUCAUUUUCAGCCCAAAAUGACUAAAACACCUCCACAUGCAAAUUUGUUGGUUAAUUAUUAAUAUGCAGCGUUAUUAAAUAAAAAAUAAAUAAUAAUUACAACUAGGUAGCAAGAGAAAUAUCCUUCUUAAAACUAAUCAAUAAUAAAUUCAAAAAUUAAUUUAAAAAACAAGAAUAUGUAGUAUACUAUAAAAAAUUGAAUUUUAAUCACACUUUUUUAGGUAACAUAUUUUUUUUUAUAGUAAAAUUUUAAAAAGUGCAGUUAUUUAAACUUUUAAUUUCACUUUUUUCACAUUUAAUAACAAUAUAAAAAAGUGUAACUUUUGCUAGUAUAUACAAUCUCUAUCGUUACAUUUUAUUUAUAAUGCAUUUAAAAAUUUAUAUAGUGAAGUUAUAUCUACAAAAAUGUUUAAAAAGCAUAAAAAAAGUGUUAUAAAUAAUAUUUUUAGUAGCACAUUUUAAAAGUGUGCUGUUUUAAGUUAAAUUUGUUGUAAUGUGUUUUGAGGAAAGAAGCUGAGUAGUCCAACAAAAGUUUCAGUCCUCCUAUUGGGACCACUAAAAUUUCCAAGGUUCUCAUGUGAACGUAAUAUCUUACAUCACUUAAAAGUGGGAUGUUUAUAUAUAUAUAUAUAUGUAAACUCAUUAACGUAGACUUUUUAAUUUACAUAGUGACCAACAUGUAUGUAUGAGUUUUUUUGGUGUGCUCCUCAUAGUCUUUUUGAAUUUGUCCAAUUACGUAGCUUUUAAACACAUUUAAAAUCAAUGAAACUGAAUAUUCUUAUUUGAAUCCAAAUUAGUACAAAUAUAUUUUAAUUUAUAAUUUUUAAUAAUAUUCUCCUCUAUUAUAAUUAGUGUGUGAAUUGAAUGUAAACUAAAAUUUAAUCUAUCAAAAUGAUUGACCAAUUUACAGGCAACAGUUAAUAUUUGAAAUUUCAAUAUAGAAACAUUUUGCUUAAUAAUAGAUACAUAUAUUUUCUAAAUAAAGAAUCUAACUCAAAGUUUUUUUUUUUUGCAUAAAAAAAUCUCAACCUAAAAGUUUCAUAUUCAAAUAUUUCUCUGAGGAAAGUAUGUGGGAUAUAAAUGCUAACCUCUCACAAAGUAGUCCAUGAGUCAAUAGAAUGAAAUAACUUAGAGAGAGUCAAUAGAAGGAAAAAACAUAGAGAGAUAGUGUACCUGACAGGCUGUUAGACUCAAAAUUAAGGACCUUAAGAAGUGUUAAAUUCCCAAUACUUGAAGGAAUAGGUCCUUCUAAGUUAUUUUCUGAGCAGAUAAGUGUCUCUAACUUUAGAAGAGAACCAAUCUGCCAUGGGAUUUGCCCUGUAAAAUAUAAUUAACAUCUUUAAAUUACAAAGGAAAAAUAGAAAAUGGCAAAAAGCUUGGGCUUCUAGCAAGCCCAUUUCUAUAGAAGCCUAAUUCUAUUUUUAGACAAAAAAAUUUAAAAGAUUAACAGUGUCAAGCAACUUCUUUUCCUUGUUUUUUUCAAAAAAAAAUGUUCAUUCAAUGGAUAAAUCAUGUGAUUUCAUCCUACAAAAAAUAAGAAGGAAAAACAGGGGCGUAUUCAGAUAAAUAAAUCAAAAGACAUACUCCAUACAACAUUGAGUUUCAAAAAGCAUUUUUCUAGAGAAAAAAUAGUUGCAAAUUUUUUAUUUCUUUAUUUGAGAAGUAGAUUCUUACAACGCUUCAUCAAUUUUUUAUUUUGCAUGAACAAACAAAAUAAAAAUAGAAGUCUCAAUCCAAACGUGGAGAAAAAUGAUUUUGUAAUAUUUAAAUUUAUGUAAAAAAAAUACACUUGAAUAUUUGAUUUAUUGAUUAAUGAAUGAUCUUCUUAUUUAAAGAGUAUGGACUUAAAUUCUCUUUUAAAAAAACAAUUAUGUUAAAAAACAAUGGACAAAGAAACUUUAGAUAGUCUAUCAAUGCAUAUGUACCUUUGAGAUUGAUCCCCUCAAGCAGCAAUUUCUUAAGCAUAGUCAAAUUUCCAAUUUCCAAAGGCAAACUUCCAUCAAAAUGAUUAUAAGAUAAGGUCAAUUCCAUUAACUCUUUGCAUUUGAAUAAACUAGUUGGAAUUUUCCCCGUAAGCAGGUUCCCACCUAAAGAAAGCCCUUGCAAAUUAGGAAAUCUAUUACACAGAUCUGACGGGAGAUUACCACUGAGAAGAUUAACGGAGAGGUCAAUGAGUUGCAGCGAAGAAGUGUUGACUGGAAUGGACGGUAUCGAAUCAGAGAGUUUGUUGUUGCUUAGAUCAAGUACUUGCAAUGAAGAUAGGUUGAAAAUUGAGGGAGGUAUGGAACCUGAAAUCUGAUUAAAGGAGAGGUCAAUGAGUUGCAGCGAAGAAGUGUUGAGUGGAAUGGAGGGUAUCGAAACAGAAAGUUUGUUGUUACUUAGAUCAAGUACUUGCAAUGAAGAUAGGUUGAAAAUUGAGGGAGGUACGGAACCUGAAAUCUGAUUAUAAUCUAAGACCAAUAUCUCUAACUUGGGUAAAAAGCACAGAGAUGAUGGGAUUACACCUGUGAAGUUAUUACCAUACAGAAACAAGUUUUGAAGUUGAGUAAAGGAACCGAACCAUGACGGAAUUUCUCCAUUGAGGUUGUUGUUACCGAAAUUUAUAUUGUUCAACCGGUGCAAAUUCGCCAAUUGGUUGGGUAAUGAGCCAUGAAAACUAUUGUUUCUCAUGUUCAGCCUGGAGAGGAAAGACAGAUUUCCCAAGUGAGGUGGGAUGGUGCCGAUUAGACCCAUACCAAAAAGAUUUAGAACUGUGACCCUGAGAUGCUUGGCUCCGCAAGUGACACCGAUCCAAUUGCAUACCGAUGUAGCAGUUGACCAAUUGGUCUCCAAAAGAUUUUGAGGGUCAAAAGUUACAUGGGAUUUCAAUGCAAGAAGAGCCAAUUGGUCUGUGGUGAUAUUGGGUGAUUCUACAGACAAAGAAGUAACAAAGUUAUGAAACAGAAGCACAACAACAAGAGGGAGGAUAAAGCGAGCGUUUCUCAUGAUGAGAUUAUGUGGUUUGAGGAAUGCGGAAUGGAAUGGAAAGGAAUUCUCAAGGCAACUGCAAUUGGUCACGUAUGAAUUAUUGGUUGUGAAUGUCAUGGAUCUAGAAAGGAAGUAUCAAAUAUAUGGCAUUUCCAAACUUCAUUCCAUUCACAUACACGUUCCCUUUGCCCUUCUUCUUCUCUUUUGGUACUGCUUUCUUUCUAUUUUUUUUUCUUAAUUGAUUGAAUAAAUUUGUGACUAAUUUUCGUGGAUAAGACAAGCAAAAAUACCUAUAACUUUCAGGGUUGCAUUUGUACACCGUAUGCUUAGAACCACACCAUAGACAACCUAAAAGUUUCGUAUAAUUAAUGACACCACCUAUAGCAGAGAGAAAAUGAAGAGAUGAAAGAUAUUUUCUUUAACACGUACGUGCCGACAACCAAUUGCUCCACCUACCCACCACGUUAUCCAUGUUAAUUCUGUCGAGAGACUUGAUGAAUCCAAGCACAACGAAAGGUUCAAGGCUGUAAUGCACGCUGAUUCCAUCGACUUCUAUUGUAGUUCCUUUAGACAUAUUAAUAUCUCAACAUCUCUUUAGUCUAUUGCUAUAUUCAUAGUAGUUACCAUUUAUAUCGUAACAUCAAACUCAUUGGGAAAACAGUUGGUGAUAUAUUCUCUAUAUUUGCCUUUGAAACUUUUUUAUUCAACAGAAAGAUAUUUUGGAGUAAGUCUCAUAAUCAAUGAUGGAGUGAGGAUUUCGCGUUUGGGGUGAAGACAAUGUUUAUAAAAUUGUCAUAUUAGAAGUUCAAUAUUUGACAAAAAUAUAAACUAAUUUAAAUAAAAAAGUUUCAAGUGAAAAUUAUACAAAUCACUCCAACUGUAUGUUAAGUGCAAAAUAAAGAUCCUUUUUACUAACUAUUGCAUGCUAAGAUUGGGCAUCAGAAUUUUACAAGAAGCUAUUGCUUGCUUAUGUGAAGAAUUAGUUACUUUGCCUUCAUGGACUAUAAAAGUACACUUCUCUUUGGGAUUCACUUUCUUCCAAUUGCAAAAACCUUCUGAUAGGAAUGCACUUUGACCUUUCCAUCCAAGUGGUUUGUGAAAAAUAAAACAUGGAAGGCAAUAUGCAGCCUUUGUUGUUGGUGAGAAUUCCAAAAAAAAAAAAUAAGAGGUGGUGGUUGUGAGGAAGUGAGGUUUGGAAAUAAUUCUAUUGCAAUAGGUUUUAUGUUAGUCUUUAAGUUUAUUAAAAUUAGUUGUUGACUAAUUGUUGUGGGGCAUCUCACCAAACAAAAAAUUAUUAUAGACGUAAAAUUAUAAAACUUUCAAAAAAUAAAGGGUUCUUUUCAAAACUAUCGCUCAUGUAUAAGUUGUUUUUGAAAAUAGCACUCUCAUAAUUUUAACUAUUUUUAACCAAGAGAACUUAAUUUUGGAUAAAAUUACUGUUAAUAAAAUCGACCCAUAUGUUUAUAUCCACGCUUCAAACCAACCCAUAUGUUUGGGUCAAAAUUUUUACCAUUAUAAUUUCUCCGCUUUCCUCGAUAGACCAUUCAUCUCAAGAGCAUUCCUCGCCAAGUCAAGUUUUGAGCAUUUUAAGCAUUAAUAGAAGCAUUUUGGAGUGGUUUGAGUAUAAAGGUAGGCAUAUUCGUUGAUUAUGUUAUUAAAUAGAAUAUAGUAUAUUGUUUGAAGUUAUUGACUUUGUUAAAUGGAAUUUGGUAGUGUUGGUGGUUUUUGGGUUGAAUGUUGGUAGGGCAUGUGUGACUAGUUUUAGGCAUUGGGUUUAGGGGUUUUAAGUAUUGCGUGACUUAGGUUUUGUGUGACUAGUUGCAUGACUAGUUUGAGUCAUUGGGUUUAAAGGUUUUAGGCAUUACGUGACUUAAGGUUUGUGUAAUUGGUUGAUAGGACAUGCAUGAUUUAUUUUAGGCAUUGGAUUUAGGGGUUUUAAGUAUUGUAUGAUUGGUUAAUAGGAAAUUGCAAAACCAAUUUUUACACAUUGCAUGACUAGUUGAUAGGGAAUUGUAUGAUUGAUUUUUAAGUAUUGCGUGACUAGUUAAUAAGAUAUUGCAUGACUGAUUGAUAGGUAUUGCGUGAUUGGCUUUUAGUCAUUUCAUGACUGAUUUGCAUGACAUUUUAAAUAAUCAAUUUUUAAACCUAUUUUGAAAUGGUUUGACUUAUUGCAAAUUUGCACCAAUAGCUGAGCAAGUGACGAAAAUGUUUUCCUAGUCAAUUUGCAUAAUUUAUCAAUGAAUUUUUUUCCCUCUAUGAAAGCACUUUGUUUGAAAUUAAAAUUUAAGAUAAAUUACUCAUUUGAUCCUAUCUUAAUUUCUCAAAAGUUUUUGUUUUGAUUACCGAACUUUAAAAAAUCACAUUUUGAUUACUAACAUUUAUAAAAAGCUACUGUUUUGAUCACACAACAUUUCCACUGUAGCUAACUUUGGCAACUUCUCAUGUCUAUAUUUAUAUGAUCAAAAGUAGUUCACAUGAAAAACCAAGUCAGAUAGUCGUUAAAUUUUAAUAGCUAAGUGAUCAAAACAUUAACUUUUAUAAACUAAAAACUUGAUUUUUCAAACUUAAGUAACCAAAAUAAAAAGUCUAAAAAAUCUUACCUACUUUCCGCCCUGACUACUUGAGCUAUUAAUUCAUGAUAGCGGGAGACGUUAAUUACUCUCGCUUUCUUGAAUUGGUUGUUCAUAUUUGAUUUAAUUGACAUGAAAAUUAAGAAAAAUAUUUUGAUUUUAAGUUAAUUUAUAUUAAAAUUUUAAUAUCCUACUAUAUUGAUGUUUGAUGCCCAAAAGAAUGUCAAAUAUUGAAAGAGUAAUACUGUGAAUGUGGACAGUUUUGGAAUUACGCCUCAGAAGAGUAGAAGGAGAAAGACUAAGGGAUGGAGAAAGUAAUUCUGUAGAAAACCUUAAAGCUACGGAUAUUAAUUAAACCUUUGCUAAAUGAAGAAGUUGAUGGCAGUAGAGAACUGGUUCGAAGAACGUGAGUAUGAAGAAGAUCCUCGCUUUCCACCGUACUGGUUGUUUUUCCGUCAAAGGCAUAGCUCCUUUUUGAAGAGCAGAUCAGAAGGAAGAGAAAGAAAAGAGAAGCAGAGUGGAGGAUUAUAAACAAGUUGGAGAACGGGGAAGUGGCCGUGGACCCUAUUUCCAGCUAAAUCUUUGUAGUAUUGUUUCAACUUGGAAACAUGUGCUACUUCAUUGCCUUUAUAUAGAAAACACUAAUACUCUCCGUACUUGUUUCUUCUACUUCCAAAGCAAUAAAAAAAAUGUUAACUUGUAAACAAAUAUUAAUAUUUUCCUAAAUUAAGAUUUAAUCUUUGUUAACAGCCAUGGACUGCAUAUUCGGAAAGGACAGAGUGGAUUAGGUAAGUCCCCUCUUAUAUUUGAAUGGUAUUGCGAUUUUUACCUAUUAACUAGUUUUUAGUACACCCACUACAUGGGUGGAAGAGGAAAAAAAAUUAAUUUUUCCUCGGCUUUUAAUUAAGUAGGAAGAUAUAUGUAUGUACUAUUAGUUAAAAUAAUUAUAUAAAUUAUCUAGUUAAGAUACACUAUUACCUAUGGGCUGUUUUGUGGUUUGGGAAUGUUUUGAUUGUUGGUCCGGGAUGGAGGGUAUGAGGGAGGUGAUGGAAGUCGUUGCAAGUAAGGAGUUUAGGUGGUGUCUUUUGUUGCUCCUAAGGAGCUGGAGAUGAGUUACUGGGAGGUGGGGUGAUAGUGGGAGGGUAUGAGGGGUGGGAGGAGGAAGGAGUAUUGCGCAUAAUUUUUCAUGGAGGAUGGUUGAGAUAUUUUGAUGAUGGGAUUUUAUGUGUUAUCCUUUUGAAGUACUCUUCAUGGUCUUUGAGCGAUUAAGGCCUUUAUCUUUAUCUUUGAGCGAUUGAGGAUAAAGCGAGCAUUUCUCAUGAUGAGAUUAUGUGGUUUGAGGAAUGGGGAAUGGAAUGGAAUUCUCAAGGCAACUGCAAAAGGUAAAAAGUAUCAAAUAUACGGCAUUUCCAGACUUCAUUCCAUUCACACGCACGUCCCCUUUUUCCUUUUUCUUUUCUUUUGUUACUUCUUUCUUUUCUAUUUUUUUUCUUAAUUGAUUGACUAAAAUUGUGACUAAUUUUCGUGGAUAAGACAGUAAAAAAUAUCUAUAUAACUUUCAGGGUUGCAUUUAUACACCGUAUGCUUAGAACCACACAAUAGACAACGUACGUAUAAUUAAUGACACCACCUACAGCAGAGAGAAAAUGAAGAGAUGGAAUAUAUUUUCUUUUAAUGCGUACGUGCCCACAGCCUAUUGUUCCACCUACCCACCACGUUAUCAAUGUUAAUUCUGUAGUGCGACUUGCUGAAUCCAAGCACAACGAAAGGUUCAAGGCGGUAAUGCACACUGAUUCCAUCGACUGCUAUUGUAGUUCCUUUUAUACAUUUUUUGGAAUAUCUUAACAUAUCUUUAAUCUAUUGCUAUAUUCAUAGUAGUUACCAUUUAUAUCCUAGUAUCAAACUCAUUGAGGAAAAUGUUGGUGAUUUAUUCUCUAUAAUCUGUCUUCCAAAACUUCUUAUUGGACAGAAAAACACUUUGGAGAAAGCCUAGUAAUCAAUUUGUUUUUAAAUUGAGUUCAUAAAAUUUCAAGUUAUCUUAGCUUGUGAGUUUGUUUUUAACAACAUGUGUUUUCAAAUUUGGAAUUUAAAUAAUGCAGUUCAAGUAGGAGAUUAUUACAGUUUUUCAAAAAAUACAGUGUAGACUUAAAUUUAUUUUGGUUUUUUUUUUAUAAAAAUUGGGUUAAGCUUAUGUGAUCUUGAUAAAGAGACAAUACUAUAAUUCCUAAUAUGAUCUAAUAAAGUGGAGUAGACUCCAAUGUUAAAUAUGAGCUUAAGAGUAUAGACCUGUGUAGAGAAGCUUAAAUUUUAUAAUGGGUAGGACUAAGGAUUUAUUAUAUAAAAGCAAAGCCUAGGUCCUCUCUCUUUCUACACCAAAAAUCUUAAGAUUCUUAUCCAUUCAAAAGUUAAUAGAUAAAAGGAGGAAGAUUUUAGUGCAUUGAUUCUCAACAAUUAAUUUAGUUAGUAGUAUUAGCAUUGUGAAAUUAUGUAUCACGAAUCAAAUACACUUUUAUGUUCUAAAUUUUGUUAUGGUAUGUUGUGAAUUAAUUAAAUUAAUUAUACUUCAAAUUUAACAUUACACACAAUGUGCAGAACCCGUAGAGGUACAAAGAAAUUUAAUAUAGGAUAUUGAAUAUGGAAAAAACCCACCAUGGUAUUUCCAUUUCACAAUGAUGUAUUUAUAGUACAAAGAUGAUAAGAUAAGAUACUUAUCAAAAUUCUAAUUGAGAAGAUAGUUAUCAAGAUUCUAGUUUAGAUAAAACAUAUCUCAUCUAUAGAUUUAAAUAUAUCAUCCUUAAUAUCUAUCUAUGUCAUCCUUUAUACUUGUCUCUUGUUCUUAAAUUGACCUUCAUUUGCAUGUGAUUGAAGAUUAAGCUUUAUCUGCAUGUUGAGCUAACUAUUGCUAUCUGUAACUCCAAUAUGCCCCCGUACGAUGGUGGUACCAUUAGCGAGUCCAAUCUUGGAUAGAAUGAACUAAAACCUCGCUUUGGUAGCAGUUUAGUAAGUGCAUAUGCUAAUUGAUGUUCUAUGGGAAUAUAGUUGACGUGAAGUUGCCCUUGUUUCACUUUUUCUUUGACCAAAAAAUUCUAAUUGCAAAUGUUUCAUCGUCAUAUGAAAGAUUGAGUUUUUGCAAGGGUGAGUGGCACUUAUGUUAUCACAGUACACAGUGGGACAACUAGGUAAGACUAUCUGAAGUUCUUGAACGAGAGACCGAAUCCAUGUUUCUUUUGAAAUAAUAGGCUCUGUAGAGGACUUAGUUACUGUCUUUUGUUUCUUUGAACUCUAAGAGAUUGAAGUCCUUCCAAGAUAUAUGAUAAAGACAAAAAUAGAGGUCUUAUCAUCAAGAUUUCCUAUCCAAUCAGAAUCUGUGAAGACUUGCAAAGAUAGAGUAGUUUUAUUUUUUUAAUGAAUAAACCAUAGAACAAGGUUCCUUUAAAGUAUCUUAGUACUUUCUUCAAUGCUUGAUAAUGCAGCGUUGAUUGUUUAUGCAUAAAUUGAGAGAGUUUGUUAACAGCAAAACAAAUAUCAAGUCUAGUAAGAACAAGAUAUUAGAGAGAACCAACAAUUUUCCCGAAUUCGUUGUCAUUGGUUGCUGCAGAACCAUCAUGUAAAUUGAGGUGAGCUAUAAUAAAGAUUGGUGUAUUUGAUUCUUUUGCACCUGACAUACCAAUUUUGAUUGGAAUAUUUGAGAUAUAUUUAUGUUGAGAUAGAAAAAAAACCUUUUGGUGUAGGAAAAACUUCAAUGCCAAGAAAGUAGCUUAGGAAACUAAGAUCUUUGAUUCAAAAUUGUGAUGAACGACUUUGAACAAACCUAGAGAGAAAUGUCUUGUUAUUUCUUGUCAGAAUCAAAUUAGUAACAUAGAUAAGUAGAUAUGCAGUUAUGUCAUUACAGUGAUAAAUGAAUAAGGAUGCAUUAGCUACUGAUUGAGUGAAGCUAGAUGAAAACAGAAAACUGCUUAAGACUUGGUACCACGCUUGAAGUGCCUGUUUAAAGCCAUAGAUCACCUUCUUAAGCUUGUAGACAAAAUAAGGCUUGGCCUUGUCAUACUAGACUAGGGAUUGCUUCAUGCAUAUCCCAUCUGUUAGUGUGCCUUGUAGGAAGGCAUUGUUUACAUCCAAUUGAUGCAAUGGCAAGCUAUUAGAGACUGCCAAGCAUAAAACCAACCUUAUGGUGACAAGCUAUUAAAGACUGCCAAGCAUAAAACCAACCUUAUGGUGACAAGUUUGACUACAAGAGUAAACGUUUCAUUGAAAUCAAAACCAAGCCUUUGGGUGAAUCCUUUUGCCACCAAUCUAGCACCAAUCUAGCACCAAUCUAGCUUUGUAUCUGGAAAUGGAAUCAUCGGAGUUCUUAUUUGUUAAGAGGUGGAACCAAUUCCCAUGUGUCAUUAUUUGUAAGGAUAGUAUAUUCAUCAAGCAUAGCUUGCUGCCAACGUCGAUAUCGGAUAGCUUGUGUAGCACGAGCUGGUUCAUGGGAUUCUAAAAGAGGAUAAAUGGUGGCUAGAUGAAGGGCAUUUAGGUUUAAAAAUAUUAUUUUGUGAUCUGAGUAACCAUAAGAUGUGUUCUUUGAGGUUGAGGUGGCACAAAAUCCUAUAGAUUUUGGUUAACAAUUGAAUCAGGAAGAGGGGAAGAGGUAAUUACAUGUGUGGAAAAACUAUCACGCACGUCAGCCACUUGCAGAGCUGAAUGAGAAGUGGGUCUGGAAGACAAAGUUGCAUUUGAGCAAGUGUUGCAUAGGUUGGAUCAAUUAUAGGUGUGUCACGAAUGACAUUGUGAGUAAGAAAUAUUAGAAACUAAAGUGUUGGAUGCAUACUUGGUAGCAAAUGAAAAUUAGAGUUCAUCAAACAAAAUAUGUCUUAAUGUGAAAAUUUUCUCAGAUUAAGGAUCAAGACAUAGGUAAGCACUUUGAUGCUUAUGGUAACUAAGAAACACACAAGCUAUAUAUUUUCUUUGAAGUUUAUGUGUGUUAUUAGGUUUAAUCCAUGGAUAACAUAAACAAUCAAAAAUUUUGAGUCUAGCAUGAUUAGGAUCCUAAUUAAAAAGUAAUUGAUAAGGACAGUUGUUUCUAAUGAAAGGAGAUGACAAUCUAUUUAAAAAAUAAAUUACAGUGGAAACAACAAAAGACCAAUAUGAUAAUGAUAUGGGUGAUGAAUGUAGUAAAGUAAGUAUAGUUUCAACAAUACAUCAAUGUCUACAUUAUUGCAUUGUGUUAAGGGGUAUAUGGAAGUCUCCGUAAAUGUUGUAUCCCAAAUGAACUGAAGAAAGAUUGUAAUUUUGUAAAUUCACCCCUACAAAUAGAAUAUAUUAUAAUAAUAGAAAUUUUAAAAUAACUUUCAACUAAACUCUUAAAUUUAGGAAAAAGAGAAAAUACAUUCAAAUUUAAAUUUCAGUGAAAAGAACUAGAUAUAUCUAGCAUAGUGAUCAAUAAAAGAGAUAUAAUAUUAGUAACCUUUAGUAGGCUCCCAAACAUCAGCAUAUAUGAUAUCUCAAGAGCCUCUACUAACUAAACUAGACUUAUGAAAAAGGAGGUGAAUUUUAUUACAGCAACAAGCAUCACUAGAAAUUCAAUCCAUGAUAUUGAAUAUGGAAGAAAACUGCCUUAGUAUUUUCAUUUCACAAUGAUGUCUUUAUAGUACACAGAUGAUAAGAUAAGAUAGUUAUCAAGAUUCUAAUUGAUAAGAUAAUUAUCAAAAUUUUAAUUUAGAUAAAACAUAUCUCAUCUAUAAAUUUAAACAUAUCAUUCUUAAUGAUUAUCUAUGUCAUUCCUUUAUGCUUGUCUCUUAUUUUUGGAUUGACCUUUGAUUGAGGAUUAAGUUUUAUCUUUAUGUUGAGUUCACUGUUGCUAUCUGUAACUCUAAUAAAAGAUAGAUUUCUCAAAUGAGGUGUGAUGGUACCAGCCUGGACCAUGCGAAAAAGAUUUAGAGCUGAGGCUCUAAGGUGCCUUUAUCCGCAAGUGAUACCUAUCCACUUACAAGCGGAGGAAGCAAUAGACCUUUGGUUGCUAAAAGAUUUUGAAGGUCAAAAGUUUCAUGCGAUUUGAUAGUCAAUUGGUCUGUGGUGAUGUUGGUGAUGCGCUUGACAAAGAAGUAACCAAAAUAUGAAAUAGAAGCACACAUCUAUAACAUAAGUAAAAGGAUUUCUCAAAGGGGCUUCCUCUUUUACCCAUGUGGAGGCAUAAGAAAAAGAGAAAAAGGAAAGAAAAGAGAGGUAGAAAGAGAAAAAAAAAACAGAUAAGGAUAAAAUGAGGUCCGUGUGCAACGCACUGGCCAUAGUCUAGUAUCCAUUAAAAGAAAAACUAUAAAAAAAGUUUGGAUGAAUCCGUAAAGAAACUAUGGCUUUCGAACUCCCAUCCGUAAAGCAAAUAUUGUUGACCACUCAAAAUUCACAUUAUCAUCACCUAUUCACACGACAAUUAGUAUGGCGCUUGGCUCUACAUGUGCCAAUGUUUAAGCCCAUUUAAUUUCACUUUAUUAUUAAACUAUAAAAAAUAUUUUUAUACUACUAUUUUAAUAGUUUUAAAUAAAUUUUAAAAUUAAAAUUAAAUAAAAAAUAACUCUCAUUGUAAUGAUAUCUUGGAUGGAGUUUAAACAUUAUAAAUCUUGUCCAAGACUUGACCUGAGUCAAGUCAAGCCUGCAAAUGUGAUUGAACAUCUAAAUAUUACAUUUGUGUAUGCGUAUGUGUGUGAGAUAGUAAGAUAGAAAAACAUGCCAAGAGAAAUCAUUCCUAAAAUUAAUUUGUGACUCUUGCACUUGUUAAAAGCUCCAUCUGAGUAUUUUGUAUAGAGUCAAAAAAUUAAAAUAAAAAAAAACUUUAUUUGUAUUAAUAUUUGGAAAACUAGAAACCAUAUUCUUUUGUCCUUUAUUAUUUAAAUUCUUUUUUAAAAAAGUAAAAUUUUUAAUAAGUUCAAAAGCUUGUAUGUUAUAACAACUCUUGAAUCUUGUAGAUCAAAUAUUUCUAAUAGCAUUGGAAGUCAAGCUAUAGAGAGAAAGAGAGUAGUACAAUUACAAAAAGACUUAACUACUCAAAACAAAAAAAGUGUUAUCAUGGAAAAAUCGAGCCCUUAACAAACUGAGGGCCUAUCUCAUUCAUCAAAUUAACAACAUAUUAACCUGAUGUCAAUACAUACAUAUAUCAAAACAAUAUGAAAACAAAACAAAAAAACAAUAUCACUCCAAAUUACACAAAAGAAAUUAUAACCCAAACAUACUGCCUUCACUUAAAGCAUCUAGUAAACGCUCCAUCCCAAAGUAAAAGCCUGUGGUUGACGUCCCUUAGCCUGAUCAUCUCAAUUCAGGAAUCGUUCACUAUCUCCAAAAGCCCUGGUUGCAUUCUUGCAUCCAUCUCCUAGCAGGCAGCCUGGUUCUAUUCCUUAAAACUUCUCCAUGCUAAACAUCUUGACAUGAACAAAACGCACAAAGCAGCUGUUUAAAAAUGCAACUCGACUCCUCUAUCCGCUGCUUCUAACUCCGUUAUGUCUUGAAUCACCUCCUCCUUGUUCAACUUUCUUUAAAAACAUGACUUUGAUUUUCUCCAACCUAGCAACAACUUCUUCCAUGUCAAUCCUCUCCUCCGGCAACUCUGCUGAACAUUCCAAGGCUAAUUGCAAAAUAGAGAAUAUACAAUCCUUUGUUGCUAAGAGUUCUAUUUCUCCGGUAUUUAGCAAAUCGUUGUCUACAACAUUAACUACGGCAGAUGGUAAUGACUCUUUCACCCAACACUUCAAGCUCAUUUCUUCUGUGAACAUUUCAUUUGUCGGCUUUUUUCUUGUGAAGGUUUCCAUUAGAAGAAUACCAAAACUAUACACAUCCCCUUUUGUAGAAACAAUUCCUUCUGAACCAUAUUCUAUAUAGAAAAUUAAUUUAAAUCAGUCAUCAAAAUGUAUAUUUGUUUUUGCAAAAUAAUGAAAAAUAAAUGCUUAAAAUUUAGUGAAGAAUUUGAAGACUACAUAUGUAAGUGCAUGUUCAUGUAAGCAUAUAUGAGUAGAAAUAUCAUCUAAGAUUGCCAAUAAUAAUAUAAAACCAUCACUCUUCAAAAAAUGUAUAUAUAUAAAACCAUCACCUGGUGACAUGUAUCCAAUAGUUGCUAGCGUCAUGGUUUGCUUCAUUAAAUCCUCUCCACCUAAGAGUUUUGCUAUGCCAAAAUCACCCAGAUGCGCAGUCAUAUCUUUAUCAAGCAGGACAUUGUUGGGCUUCAAAUCACAGUGAACCACGGCUGGGGUAUGACCAUGAUGGAGAUACUCCAAUGCGGAUGCGAUGUCUAUCAUUAUAUUCAACCUUUGUGAAAUAUCCAGAAAAAGGUUGUGAGAAUAGAGCCAGUUCUCCAAGUUUCCAUUAGGCAUGAACUCAAGUACCAAGGCUUUAAAAUCAAUAUUAGAGCAACUACUGAUGAUUUUGACCAAAUUUCGAUGACGAAUGUUGCGAAGGACCUCACACUCAACAUCAAAGCUCUUAAGAGCUCUAUCUACAUUUACCUUGAAGACUUUUACUGCAAUGUUCAUCCCAUUUGAAAGAGUCCCUUCGUAUACUGACCCAAAACUCCCUUCCCCUAGUAAUUUGCUCUCAGAAAAUCGAUCUGUAGCUUGAUCGAGCUCAUGGUAAGAAAUUCUUCUCCAUUCAGUUGAUGGUAGCAUAUUUUCUUGAUCAGUUGUCACUUCAGCUUUCCUGUUUCGACUCCGCAAACAAAUGAUAACCACGGCCAAUAUUAAUAUUGCUAAGCCAACUGCUGGUAGAAUAUAUUUUAAAAGCUCAGUACCCUUGGACCUUCGAGAGGGAUCAGAUUUGCAUGGUUGGACUUCAAAUCGAGGUGAACCACACAGGGCUUCAUUUCCCAUAAAUGAUUGACUCGAGUAGUUUACAAAUGAUCCUCCAUUAGGAAUUUCUCCUUGUAGUCUAUUGAAAGAGACAUUCAAAUAUUUGAGAUGUGAGAGUUGUUCUAACGACUUGGGGAUCGUUCCUGAGAGGUUAUUUCUUGACAAAUCUAAGAAUUCCAAACUUAUCAAAUCAUCGAAAGACUGAGGAAUAGAACCUUGUAACAUGUUACCAGAGAAGGAGAGAUGAGUUAGGUCUAUGAGGUCACCAAUGCUGCUCGGGAUAGCACCUGAAAACUGAUUAUCUGACAAAUUCAAAUUAGUCACGGACUUCCACUUUCCAAUAUCAAUUGGGAGAGAGCCGCUUAGAGAAUUGGAAGACAAUUCUAGGAACAAUAUACUAUCAAGCCUUGUCAAGGUUGAUGGGAUAGAGGCAAAAUUAUUGGAGCCCAAGAAAAGAUUUCUUAGAGAAACGACAUCGCCUAAGCAUGCUGGUAUUGGUCCAGAUAGUCUGUUCCCUGUCAGAGUUAAAUAAGUCAACCUCUGCAAAUGACAUAACUCAGAUGGAAUGAAUCCUUCUAGCUUAUUGUUCCCAAUAUUAACAUCUUGCAACUCUGUCAAUCUUCCAAGUGUAGUAGGUAUUGUUCCCGUCAAGUUAUUGUGGUCAAGACCUAACCAUAGCAACUUGCUUAAAUUACCAAUUUCACUUGGUAUGUUGCCCUUGAUGUUGCUAUGAGAUCCAUAGAAAAGUGUUAGAGAAGAUGAUAAAUUUCCUACAGAAAUUGGAAGUUCACCAUUAAUCAGUGGAUUAUCAUCAAAUAUCAAUACUUCCAAGUCUUUGCAAUUGGUCAAUGAUGAGAGAAAGCUCAAUUCUGGGGAUGAAGGUUCGCUACUGAAAUUGUUAUGACCAAGAUCGAGCUCUUGUAAAUAUCUUAGAUUGCCAAGGUUGUCAGGCAGAGAUCCAGAAAAUGAAUUAUUGGACAAUUGAAGAUAAAUGAGCUGAGAGGCAUUGGUAAUAGAGACCGGAAUUGGCCCACUCAGUUCAUUUAAUCCAAGAUAAAGACCUUGCAGUUUUGGAAGUCCAAGGCCUAUGGUUGAUGGAAGCUGGCCUGAGAAGCGAUUCAAUCCAAGCCAAAUGGCCCUUGCAGUUGAGAUGUUAAAGAUUGAAGGAGGGACGUUACCAGUGAAACUGUUAUUUCCCAAGAAUAAGAUUUCUAGGCUCUGUAGGUUACCAAUCUUGAGUGGAAGUGUACCUGCCAUAUUCAAUUUGUUCACAGCCGCCUUAUAUAUUUUUCAAUAUAAACAAUAAAAAAAAUUUCAAAGAAUAUGUAAUCAAAGCAAACAACCUGAUUAGCCCAUUAAGGUUUCUAUCCUUCUAUUUGGGCCACCACUGUUAAAAUAAUUUCGCUGUCAUGAAAAUUUUUUAAUUAAUUAUUUGCCCUAAUUUGAUGUCUUGAGCUUACAACUAACGUAGUUGGAAUUUUGUCUAUUAAUGUCAUUUUAAUCAAAGCCUUUUAUCUUUGAUGAGGUGGCCUUCAAUUAAGAAUUGUCCUCACUUGGAACAACUUUAAUAGUGGGGACAAAUUUAAUAGUAAAUGAAUGUAUGCAUUGAUGCAUUGAUGAUUGUGUACCAAGUUAUAAAUAUAUAAUAAAUUAACUUAGCAUAAAAUAACAUAGAGAGAUAUUGUACCUGACAAGCUGUUAGAGGAAAAAUCAAGGUUUUUAAGAAGUGUCAAAUUCCCAAUACUUGACGGAAUAGGCCCUGCUAAGUUGUUUUCCGAAAGGCUAAGCGUCUCUAAGUUUAUAAGAGAACCAAUCUGCCAUGGGAUUUGACCUGUAAAAUAUAAUUAACCUCUUCAUUAAAUUUAAAAAGGAAAAAUACUGACAUUCAUUAAUUGAAUUUAUUAUCUCAUCUUAAGUAUAUAAUUAGAUGAAAAUAAGAGUUCAGUGAUUUGAUUAAAUCAGACAAAUGUACAAUAGCUUAAGGCCGGGGAACAUAUUAAAAAUUCAUUGUAUAUAACAUUGACUUCCAAAAAGGCCUACGCCUAUAAAUCACAGACGUAUACAUAUAACAUUGACUUCCAAAAUGCAUUUUUCUAGUGAAAACAAAAUUGCGAAAUCUAUUUUGUAAGAAGAUAAAUCUAUUUAUACUAUUUUUAAAGCCAAUUAUAAAUUGAGAGAGUGUAAUGAGUUAACUAGAUACCAACUCAUUUAAUGAGUUGACAAAAAAAUUAUUAAAAGCUCAUUAAAAGUAUAAAAUUGAAAGGAUAUAUAUCUUUUCAUUUCCUCUUACAAAUCAGCUAGUUCUUUUUAUCAGACAUGCAUUAAAAAAACACCCUCUAUUUCAUUACUAUUUUCAUUUUUCAAAAUAGAACUUCAACUUUUUUCAUUACUAUUUUUUUAAUUAUAUUUUGUAGGUGUGUGCUAAUACAAUAGGAGCUGUAGGUUUUUAUAACUGCUGCUUCAUAAACUUUUUUUACUGCAUGGAUAAACAGAAAAUAGAAGUACAACCCAAAUGUCAAGAAACAUUAUUAUGUGGCGUAUAAUAUUAAAAAGAAAAACUAUCUUAAGAAUAUAUAGGUGCUUACCUCUGAGGUUGUUUGCACCGAGUUGCAAUUUCCUAAGCAUGGUCAAAUUUCCUAUUUCCAUAGGCAAACUCCCCUCAAAAUGAUUAUUAGAUAAGGAUAACUCUGUUAACUCUUUGCACUUGAAUAAACUUGUUGGAAUUCUGCCCGAAAGCAGGUUCUCACUUAAAUAAAACCCUUGCAGAUUAGGAAGUUUAUCGAACAUAUCUGACAGGAGACUACCACUGAGAGCAUUAGUGGUGAAAUCAAUGAUUUGUAGUGAAGAAAUGUUGAGUGGAAUGGAAGGUAUCAAACCAGAGAGUUUGUUGUUGCUAAGAUCAAUUAUUUGCAAUGAAGAUAAGUUGAAGAUUGAGGGAGGUAUAGAACCUGAAAGCUGAUUAGUAUCCAAAUAGAAUGUUUUUAAGGCAGAAAGAUUUCCUAUCUCGACAGGAAUCUGCCCUUGCAGAUUAUUUUUAUCCAACCUCAAGAUCUCUAGCUUCGGCAAAUAGCACAAAGAUGAUGGGAUUAUACCCGUGAAGUUGUUACCAUGCAGAAAUAAGCUUUGAAGUUGAACGAAGGAACCAAACCAUGCUGGGAUAUCUCCACUGAUGCUGUUGUUGCCGAAGUUUAUAAAGUUCAACAGAUGCAAAUUAGCCAAUUGGUGGGGUAAGGAACCAUGAAAACUAUUGUUUCCAAUGUUAAGCCUGGAGAGGAAAGAUAGAUUUCCCAAGUGAGGUGGGAUGGUGCCUACCAGACUCAUACCAAAAAGAUUCAGAGCUGUGACCCUGAGCUGCUGAGAUCCGCAAUUGACACCAAUCCAGUUGCAAACCGAGGUUGCGCUAGACCAAUUUGUUGCCAAAAGAUUCUGAGGGUCAAAAGUUACAUGAGAUUUCAAUGCAAGAAGAGCCAAUUGGUCUGUGGUGAUGUUAAGUGAUUCCAUAGACACAAAAGUUACAAAAUUAUGAUACAAAAGCACGACAAUGAGAGGGAGUAAGAAGCGAGUAUUUCCCAUGAGGAAUAUGAAAUGGAACUGGUGAGACAACUGUGCUUGGUCAUGAACUCUUUAAAUACAUGCGAAGUCAGCCGCCAAGAGAUCGUUUUCCAUAUGUCUACUGUAUAGCCCAACAAAUAUGACUUUGACAUCCCGAUUUAGUUCUCCUUUUUUAGCCUAGCUUUAAAUACUCAUCCUGCAUAAAUGGAAAGAUAUAUAUGGAUCUAAAGACUGUGUCAGCUAAGGCAUAUCCAACUUGUUGUCCAUCGACGUUCCUUUCUAUUGUGACUUUUAUUGCACUCGCAUUAACGUGUACUGAAUUAGUUGCAUUUAAAUACCGUGUGUAUCCUUUAUACACAUUGAUACCUACGGUUCCACACAACAAACAAUACUAUAUACAUAUUCAAACACCAUAUGCACGCUUUAUAUAUAAAUAUUUAUAUCUACGGUUUCACACAAUAAACCUAUAUUGGAUAGUUGGAUUCAAAUGCCAUGUGUCAUUUUUGUUGAAUACAAGGUUGGUCUCUCUGUGAUCUCCAAGAUUUAAUCCUUAUACCACAAUUUAAUGAAAUUUAAUCUCUACAUUUUCAUUAAAUAUAAGAUUGAAUAUAAUCGUUAACAGUGUGAAUUUCUAAUGGUAAAAUUUGUUGACAUGAUAUUCUUUUAGCCACAUGAACUUUAUUGGCCUGUCUUCACUAUGUUCUAAACAAUUAUGACUUUUUCUUUGUUGAUUAUAUUCAUCUUGCAACAGCAGUUGUUGAGGCUUGAGCCAUCAACUCAGUCGACUCUGUAUACUCAGCCAUCAGGUUCUAGAUCUACUAGUGAAUGACCCUAAAUCUGUUCGAUUUAAUGCCAAGUAGAACUUGCUAAUCAAACAAUGAGAAAAUAGAUUCCAAGAGAAACUUACAGAUGAAACAAAGAAGAGAGGAAGCAGGAAAUCCAGAAACCUUUUUAUGAGCUAGCUGUGCCUAUUCUCUGCAGAAACCCUCGACCCGCUCUGAUACCAUGACAAAAUUGAUGAGGCAGGCGGCGCAGAGGCACAAACAAAAAUGGGAGAAUGUCAGAUGCAUUUCUCAUCACAGAAAAAUCAGGGUACAGUGAGUUUUAUAUACAGCCCUGUAACUAAUCAGGGAAUAAAAGGAAGAAAAGCAAUUAACUAAUCUGUGUCAACUAACUAACUAACAUUUAAAAAUAGUGAGUAAAGGUAACUCUUUAACAGUAACUUGUGGUAAGACUAGUAAAUAGCAAAACGUUGCGUUUUGCUUCUCUCAUUUAUUUCUUCUUGAUAUGGUGCAUUUGACUCUACCUUCUUUGCCCAUCCAUUUGCAAAUUCGAGUCUCUGUCUCCUUCUUUUCUGUUUAUUCUCUUGAGCUUAUUUAUUCACAUUGUUCAGCUAAUGUAAUAAUUUAUAAUUAAAACUAAAACCCUGAUUAAAAAAUAUGUUAUCAGUCGAAAGACAAUUCUAAAAUUUAACGUGCGUACAAAAUAAGUAAUUAAUUGACCAAAAAUUAAGCAAGUGUCAUGUCUUGUGAUAAAACGAUUGUCUCGUCACUCAAUUUAAUAAUUAGAUAUUCACAUUAUUAUCAAUUGUUUUUAAUCCAAUAUUUGAUAAUAGUACAAAGAUUAAAUUCAUUGAAAUUGUGAUGAAAAGAUUAAAUUUUUAAAAUUAAGAUAAUACAAAGAUCAAUCUUCAACUUUGAUCUAGAUUUUUUCAGAUUUAAAGGAGGUGAAAUUGACAUAAUUUUAGCCCAUUUCUCAUAUAAACCUUUAUAGCACGUGACAAAUGUCCUAUAGCGCUAAUACACUUUUUUUUUUUUCUGAAAGUUCUAUAGCUAUUAUAUUCUAACUUUUCAAUUCCAUUUUCUGUGGUCCAAUGUGACGUUUUUCUAGCUUAACAAAUAGCAACUACUACGACUUGGGGAUGGUUUUUGCUAACCUUUUCCAUGUGAGUGUCUUUAUACAGGCAUCUGAUCUGUUUGGUCAAAAGAUGUAGGAGUGUCUUCUAGCGUUGCCGUUUGUUCUUUCAUGAGGCUUCUUUGUUCUCAAAGUUUUGGAUUCUGCUACCGGAAGUGUGUUUUAUGAGCCGGUGCCUGGAUGCCCGUUGAGUAGGUGGAAUCAUUGAAGGGUUGUUUGGAUGUCGUCAUGCUGCUAAUUUGAUGUUUGGUUUUCAAUUGGUAUAUUUUGUGUUUAGGGUCUGCUGUUGCCCUUUUGUGAGUCUUUCUAAUUAGGAUAUGUGAAAUGGAGCUCUGUGUUGUUAGUUCAGAGGAUCUAUUCUAUAUAUGAAGUCUAGUCUUUUGUAUUUGCACGACCAAAUGCUUUUUGUGUAGCUUAAUCAUGUUGCUAUUGUACACGAGCUCCUUAAACACCGUUCUUCACUAAAUUGAAUUUUAUUCAUAAAAUUAUCAUGCCUGCAAACUAAACAUUUUGCUAGUCCUUGAACAAAAGAAAAGAAAAUAAGGAAAACAAAGAAAAUUAAUGAGAAACUUUUCAAGAGAUAAAAAUUCACCAAGUCAUGCUUUCUCAAUUUUUUCUUAAAAAUUAUCCCACAAUUUCAACUUAAGGUAAAAUACAUUUAAUCUUCAAAUACAUGCAUCAAAUCAAAUGAAAGCUCACUUUCAAAUGGACUUCCUCUGUAUGUGUGAAUAAUCUCUUACAAAAAAUAUUAUGCAAUUUGGAUUGAUGCAUGCUAAUUCUAAGCAUAGAUUAAUAAUAGAAUCCCAUAAGUUUGCUUUUCAUUGCUCUCUCUACUAAUGUAAACUAACACUUAUUCAAGAAUCAAUAGGUCUUUUAUUGAGCUUAUAAUGUAAGGCUAGGGUCAAGGUAUGAUCAAGGAUAUAUCUAAGCUCAAAUUCACCCUAAACACAUAAUCAAUCUAAAACAUAUGUAAAGCUAAAAAAAAAAAAAUUCUUCCUCACAGCACCCCCAAACUUAAAAUAAACUUUUCUUUUGUACAACACACUUUAUUUCUUUUUCUUUUCUCUUCUUUUUUUCACCCCUAAAUUUGUUUUUGACAAUUAUGAACAAGAGGUAGAUUUCUAGCACCAAGCACUUUUUUUCAUCAAUUCAUUUGUCUCCCUUAAUUUAACUCUAAGCUCAAGGUACUUUCUAGAAAGAUCAAAAUACUUAGGGGUAAAAGGUUCAAAAUUGGCAAUAUAUAAAAAGGCUUAGGCUAACAUAAAUAUGUGUUUACAGAGAAACAGAAAGUUAGGCCCAAAAGGGGUUAUUAGGGAUAAAAUUAUAUAACAAAGUAAGCUGGAAUAGGUUCAAACGGUUCAAAGAUAGCAUAUAUCAUCUCUUAUCCUAAGUCUUAUCUAAGAUUUCGCUUCAAUAGAAAAUCAAACAAAUUCUAGAAUCCUUGACUUCACUACACUUUUAUUUACAUAAACUUUUCUAAAUUACAUGACAAUUCUAGGUAAAAGAAUAUAGUGCUCAAAUUAUUGAAAGUCAUAUUAUAUAAUGAAGCUAUCGCAAGAAUAUCAACACAAAACUUAAAUCAUACCCAUAUUCUUCCCAAAUCCUAAAAUCAUAAAAUAAUCAAAAUAUCAUCCUAGAAUAUGGAAAAUCAUAAACAAGAUGUCAAAACAUCUCAAUUUUCUUUAUGUUAAUAAAUUUUUUUAAAAUACAGAAGCUAAAAAUUAAAGCUAACAAAACAUGCAAAACAAAAGAUAAAUUUAGAACAAAUAAAAUAAAGAUAAGAAAAUAAAAAUAAAUAAAGACACACAAAUAGAAGUAAAUAAAGGCACACAAUAAAAUCUAAAGACAUCUCUCAACUUAAAACUAAACAUUGUUCCCAAUGUUUAAGGGAAAAGAAAUAAAAAUAAAAUAAAGAGAAAAGAAAAUGAAAACCCCCCUAUCAGUGAAGCCACAAAAAGGAGAAUAUUUAAACAUCCUCAUCAUCAUCAUUAUCAUUAGCUCUAGUAGUAAUGGUGGGACAUUUGGCAAGACAGGAAAAGUAGCCAUAUACAUGCCUACAUGUUCUACGUAAGCUUUCAUCAUAUGCUCAAUAACGCGAAUGCACUGUGCUUGAUGGUCCAUGCGAGUCUCAAAUCUUUCCAUUCUCUGCACCAUGGACAAAAUCUAAAAACGUGGUGCUCGAGUCCUCACAGCUAAUGAACUACCUCCAACAGUCGAUGACUCUUGUUGCAUAAAUUUUUCCAUUAUUCCAUCAUUAAUCGAACCCUUAGGAUAGAGCAACUCUUCCCUAAAUUGCCAUUCCACACCAACUCUUUUACACAACUUAGUGAUCAAAGAGGGAAACUAGAUAUCCUCACAAAGUGUAUUAGCAAAUCUAAGUAUGGUGAGGUAGAUCAAUCGACCAAUAUUAAUUGCGUUAGUAGUCAAAAAACAAUAAAAGCAACAAAGUUUUCCUUAGUAAUACCACUCACAAACUUCAUCGAAAGCAAACCUAACAAUAAUAAAAUAGAACCAACACUUGUACGCACCAUGAAGUUGGCUACUCUUAAAGGAAACAAGUAACGCUUUAAACAUCUUCCACUCCCCAUUACCCUUAAACAAGUAAUUAAUAACCUCUUCAUAAUCCAGCUCCCAAGUAAAAUAUUCAUCAUUCACAGUCUCAAGAAUCUCAAAAUAAUCAUUAAUAGUAUCAACAGUAAAUGGCACAAAUUUACCACAAACAAAAAUAGAUCCAUUAUUAUGCUCAUUUGCAUUAGCAUAAAAUUCUCCAACUAUGGGCAUCACAACUGCAAAAGACUAUUUACAAAAUAUGGUCCAUUGCCUAGCAAGAAUAAUUGCAUGAACAUCUAGAAACCAACCUUCACUAACAUGAAAUCCCUUUUCAGGCACCGAGGUUUUAUAAACUACCUCCUCAAUUUUUUUUUUUGAAAAGCGAAUUUAUUAAGCUCACCACCGGUAUGUCAUUACAAGUCUAUAGCCUUGUCAACUAAAGACCCUUAUAACAUAGAAGACUAGUUUAAGAGUAGGAAAAUUGUACAAUUACCAUAGGCAGCCUCUCAACAAGCUUUUGUCGGUUUUAACGAUCCCAAAUUACACCAAAAAGAACAAAUAAUAACAAAAGCCCUAGAACACAAAGAUGGGCAUAAAGGGUCAAACAGAAGUGCCUACAACAUAGGUUGCAAACCAACAAAAAAGCAACCCAUCAAACAAUGACAAGUAGCCCAAACCACACUCGGUAGCUAAGUGAACCUACAAGGAAAAUUUAAUGAAGUGGCACUUAAAGAGAAUGACUCCUUCAAAACAUUGGUGUCAACAAAAGAGCCCAGUCAGCCUUUCACGCAUAAUUCCAUAAGUAGCAUAAGGAAAAAAACCAUCAUACCACUACUGUUACCAAGAUCAACCAAAAAGAACUCGCACAAGUUAAGAAGCACUCUCAUGAAACAAACCGCAACCACAAAGCCAAAAAGAGCAACAACAAAACCAACUUACAUAUCUGAGCCUUCCAAAACAAAUCAACUAGGAAGUCACCUUGCUCAUCCAAGCACAAUAGAGAAUCAAAAUUCCAUGACCAGUUGGAUGCCUUAAGUAAAAAUUUGUCUCUUCCCCGUCAUCUGUAGCUCCCUACUAUUGUUCCUUUCUUGGCUUGGGCUUCUACCACUACCUUCCUUACCAUGUCUACCAGCAACUUAUCUUCGUCUUCCUCACAAGUGAAACCCAAUUUCUUCCCAAUGGACAAAUCAACCUCCAUAUCUAUCAUUAGGACUUCAUUCUUAUUCUUAAAAUCCCUAUCUGAUAAAGAUUUGUUGAAAUUUUCUCAUCUUUUCUUCUGUUAUUCCCUUUAUUUGAUUUUUUUUCUCUUUCUUUUUGAGUCUAUCUUACUUCACUCCCUUACUCCUCACUAGUUGAUCAUCAACCUCCUCAUACCAUUUCCAUCUUAUGAACUUUCUCGAUCUUUCCAAGCCUAUAUUACUUUUAUUUUUCCUUUUCUCUUCUCCAUCAUACACCAUUUUUUCCUUUGUAUUAAACUGCCCAUCCUAUAGGAAGUUUUUGUCUUUUCUUGCCCUAAUUUUCCUCUCCCAAAUUCUACUCCCUAUCCUCUAAGCUUUUUGUCUGCUAAUUACUUCUAAGCUUGAUAAGUUUCCAUUCUACUUGUCAACCUCUUUUGGUCCAAUAUCAAUUUUUUUCUUUUGCAUAAUAUCACCAUUAAGCUUGCAAUUGGACAAAUAAUUUGAUAAAUUAGUUGAGUUCUCUCCCAAUAGCUUGUCAAUAUCUUCAUCAUCUAUAGGGCCUUCCUUAACCUUACCCACCCUUUGUCCAUUUGCUCCAUUAAUCACUUCUGGGCUUCCUAUCAUUUUUACUUCUUUUGGGCUUACCAUUUUCCUACUCCUCCCUUUUCCAUCAUUCACAUCAUCUAUCUCUUUCAAGCUUUUAUCUGAAUUAUGUCCUUUAUGUUUCUCACCAUUCCCAUUUGUUUCCAAUCCCACGUCUUUUCCCUGAAUUUUUCUUUCUUCUUUUUACCACCCCUCUUCCAUCAUCUUUUCGUAUAUUGAGCUUUGAACCCCUACCCCCUCUUUCAUACUUUUCUCUUGAUUUGAUAUUGUAGCUUUCCCACUCCCUUUUAUCAUUUUCCUAUUUUGUACUUCAUCUUGUUGACCAUCAUCUUCCUCUCAUAUACCGUUUUUACUUUUAUUCAAAAUCUUUCCUGUUUCACUCUUCUGGUUUAGCUUUUUCUCCUUACAUCUAAUCUCCUUUGUCAUAUUUGUGUUAACUUCCCUUUCCCCUUAGAUUGAAUAAACCUUUUCUCGUACUUCCUUAGCCUAAAGCAUGUUGUCAUGUCUCUUUUCUAGAUCCACGUGCCUUUCUCCCUCGUUGCUUUCAUUGGAUUCUCUUCUCUCACGGUUGGACCACCAUGGCCUACUUGAAUUUUGAGAUGAGUCGCUUGAAUACUGUGCUUUCCUAAAUUCUUUUAGUUUUUUCAAACUCAAAUAUGGCUUUUUGUAGUGCAUUGAUAGAGAUUCACAUUACAAUCCUCGAUCUUUACUAAAUUUACCUUAAACACCUUUUCACCCACCUUCAAGUUCACAAUCUCUGCCAUUCUAGUAGGUUUUGUGGUAAUUAAUUGCAUCACCCCUUUUGUAAAUAACUAUGAUUUUAAUGUUUUUCCAUUCAUGCAUACAAAAUCCCCUAUUGUAUUUGCUAGAUUUUGGAACGUAAAAACGUUCCACACAUGAAAUGGAGCUCCAUGACAAGCCACCCAUAUUCUUCUGCUUUUUACUUUUAGUUCAUCAAACCAUUCUUCUAUUUCAUCAAACCAUUCCCUAACCAUACCCAACCCAAUCCUUGCAUAGCUUCAAAUGAAACCUUAUCAUGGAAACAUAUGAUAAAUUGUCUUCCACUCCAUCUUCUAACAUCAAUACCUAAACAUCCAUCCCUCAUUAUAUGUUCUACAACUAUUUCUGGUUUUGACUGGCUUUUGCAUAUUCCUACAACACUCUGUCUCAACCACUGUAAUUUGUCUUUCUCCACCAAGCCUUCACAUGCUAACUGUUCACCCUUCACAUCCUAUUUUUCUAUUAUUACAUUUUUUACUAUCUUUUUUCCUUCCUUAACUACCUUAGCAGAAGAUUUCUUCACUAUUUGAGCAGAUUCCCCCUUUAACUCCUCAUUUCUUUCCUCUUUCUUCUCCUCUCUUUGUCUCAUCACCUCAUUAUUUCCAUCAUUCCCUUUUAUUUGAUCAUACUUCUUUUUCCAAUAUGCAUCUCUCCCCUCAAAUCUAGCUAUAUUCAUUCCUAUCUUAUGAUCCAGCAACCAUGAUCCAUCCAUUUUCCAAAUCGCAUUAUUUACCGUUGCCAUGGAUCCAAAGCGUACAAAACCUAUUUUCAUGCCUACAUGUUUCUUUUCAAUAGUAUGAAGACAUCCACAACCUCUCCAUACCAUUGACAUAUUGCUCUUAACUCUAUCCACCCAACUUGUGGCGGUAAGUUGUUAACAAACACCGUCACUAUUUCUCCAUUACUUGCUCUUAUUAUUUGUGAAUUGAAAUCUCCAUCCUGAAUCCCCUGACUGCCAUACCUUCUUGCCUAAUAUGACAUAUCAUGCCUUGUUGUUGGAUUAACUCAAUGGAUCCAUUUUGCUAGCUCUAGCUCUCUUAGGUGCCAUAUUCAAUAAAUCAAACUCCACCUAAUAAACCAAAAAUCAAACUCUAAAUAAAUACCCCAACAAUUGGCCAUCAGGCACAAUCAACUCAAAUAGUAAAAAUCCCAUAAUCCAUAAUAGCACAAUGCAUAAUAUCUCAAAAAUGACUAGCAUAGGAAAGUUAACUUACUUGAAUAGAGAAGAUCAAUUGUUGAAUGAUUGAAGGUAGAGGGUGGUUUGAAUGAUGAUUUGAGUAAGAGUUUGUGGAGAGAAAGAAAAGAAAAAAAAAUUCUAAACAAAUAGUGAGUGUGUGGCUAAUGAAGAAGAUAGGGGGAGAAAGAUGUGGGUUAUAAAUUUUUUUUUUCAUUUUUUUUAUUAUCGGUUGGGCAUUAUGGCACUCUAACCGGGCACCGUAGUAUCGAAUGAACUGCUUUAACCAUCAUAAUGCUGAACUCGGAGCAUCGCAGUUUUCUUUCUCCUACUCCAUGGCAUUGAUGAUGUUCAGGAAUUGGCGAAACUCCAAACUCGGGAUGCUGUGGCUUCCUAUCUCUUACUCUGCAAGAUCAACACAUGAAAAGAGUCUAUAUAUUGGACUUCAACAUAGCAUUGUAAGAAAAAUAAUUAUUAAUGAUAUAGUCACCAUAAGUUAUGUGAAGUCUUGAAAAAACUUAGCAAAUCCGUUUAGCAAAGGUCUAAAAAAGGAAUUAGUAAUAAAGACCUCAAGAAAGAUAGGUCUCAAGCCUAUCAAUUAAAUCUCUAAUGGUGGGAGCUCACCUCAACACUUGUAAUCAACCUGUAAGUCUUAGGUACUGACCAUUCUACCACAUGGAUAAUUACAAGCAUUAAUUUAUAUUUUAUCUCAAGGUGUGUGGUGCUUGGUUCCCGUAAUGUGUAAAGUAAGGUUAAACAAAAGUUCUUAAUAGACCCAUAACAUGUAUAUAUUGAAGUUCUAUAAUUACGGGGUACUUUUAAUUGGGCUACCUAUUUGAGUGAAAGUGUAGUCGCUUGUAAAAGCUAAAGGCUUGACUCUGACAACACUCAUGAAUGAAUGCAAACACAAGGCCAUAAAAACCGUGUUGGCAAAACUAGAUACAAAUUGAGCAAGGAAGCUUAUGUUUGUUUAAUGGCUUAACUAAUCAAAUGAAGAAUUGAUGGUUCAAUACUUGAUUAACCACUCAAUUCAGACAAGAACCAACUACACUCACUAAGUGAAGGUUUAAAUCUAUGGGAUACCUUCAUUUAUGCACAAGAUUCUCAAAGUUGUUGGUAUUUAGAAAUUUUGAAAGUGAUUAGAUGUUGUUGGUGUAUUUUCAAAAUAAAAAAAAAUUAUCUCUUCAAAAUGAAAAGUUAUCUUUGAAGAAAAACUCAACAAGGAAGGUGAGAAGAUAGGAAGUAAAGAAAAUAAACAAAGAAGAAGGUUGGAAGUGCAAAUGAUGAAUUUGUUAGUUUUUCUCUUGAUGUUUGGUGCAGAGAAAGUCUAUCCUUUUAUAGAGUACAAGAGUUAUUUGUAUGGAAAGCUUUCAACGAUAUAGAGAUAAUUUGUGUUGAAUUUUAGCACAUCUAAACUAUGAUUUGGGACUGAUCUUUGUACAUGAUUUGGUGCUUUUUUUAGCACAUAUUGGCUAUUAUUUUGGGCUACUGCUUGUAUAUCUGUGAGGUGAUUUUGUGUUGAUUUUCAGCACAUGUGAGUUGAAACAGUAGUGUUGUUACUCUUUGCUUCAGAUGGUGAUCUACUUCUACACUCCCCUUUAAACUAGUCAUGGGAAGAUCCCACAAACCGAGUUUGAUACGAAUACCUUUAAAGAUAUUACGGGGCAAAGCUUUUGUGAAGAUGUCAGCUACUUGGUGAGUGGAAGGAACAAAUUGAGUGACAAGUGAGCCUAAUGCCACCUUUUCGCAGACAAAGUGAUAGUCAAUUUCAAUGUGUUUUGUUCGAGCAUGAAAGAUAAGAUUGAUGGUGAGAUGAAUGGUUAAUAAAUUAUCACAAAGAAGACAUGGUGGUUUGUCCAUGUAGAGGCCAAGGUCAUGAAGAACAUCAGAUAUCCAUGUAAACUCAGCUGCAGUGGAAGCUAAUGCACGGUACUCUGCUUCUGUACUAGAUCUCACAACAGUGGGCUGCUUCUUUGAGCUCCAAGAAAUACAAUUGCAUCGAGAAAAGUACAAUAGCCAGUGAUGGUGUCACGACCCAAAUUUUGGGCCAUGACUGACGCAUGGGCCCAAUGGACGUAAUCCACUAAACCCAAGCAAGCCUAUUAUUUAUCUUACUCAUAAUUCCAUCUAAUAUCGCUAAGUCGUAUUUUAUAACUUUGAAUCAAAAUAGUGAUAUACAUUGCCAACUCGUACUGGCAUUACUCAUUUAAAAUUUACAUACGAUGUCUACAACAUGUAUUCUAAUAAUUUACAUUAAGUUCGUCUAUACAAAACAAAAUAAUACUUGACUUCCAGCGGAGGGACUCGGAUGAAUAUACAACUACUGAAUGCCGUGACACCUACCAAAAAAUGGACAUAAAUCUACAAGGACACCGCGUCCUAGCUACCGGUUGCCUUGUGAUCAGAAAACAUGAAGUUUAAAAAAGGUGAGUAUAAACCCAGUGAGUGAACAAGAAAGGGAACAAGCAACAAUUAUGGAGAAUUUAAAAUCAUGAUGCACUUGUUUCAAAACAAUGCAAUUUAGUUCCAUUCAUAUUAAAAACCCCUCAUCAAACCCUUAAAUGAUUAAUCACUUGGUCAUGAGGAACCCAUACAUAACCAAUAAUUUGAAAAAUGAAAGUUUCAGUGAUACACCAACAAGUCAAAUUUGGGGACGAACCUUCGCUGUAGCAGGAAGGCAUUCUCGCUGCAGCGAGAAUGAAUUUUCGUUGCAGCGACGUUGGGAUUUAGUUAUUAGUCGAACGAGGGUUUCUCAACUGGUCGAGGGUUUCUCACUAAACCUCUUCAUUUUUAACUUAACUCAUUUAGUCCUUAAUGUUGGAAGUCCAUGCUCAGAUAUGGUAGCAAAUAAGUGAAAAAUAGGGCAACAAUUAGACAAGAUAGGAGACAAAACAGAAUUUUUUCACUGCAACGAAAUUGUAACCCAGAAUCAGAAAGUUUCUUACUGCAGCAAGAUUAAAUCUUGUUGCAGCAAAAUUACAACCCAGAAAACAGAAAGUUUCUCGCUGCAGCGAGAAGCUACAGUGUCAUUCUCGCUGCAGCGAAAAUUCAUCCUCGCUGCAGCGAGUUUUCAAUCAAUCUAUCCCUCCAAACCUGAGAGUUUCUCGCUGCAGCGAAAAUGAUUCUCGCUGCAGCAAGAAAUAGGGCACCAAUGAGAAACUUGCCCUUCUUACCAAAGAAAAACCACCCUGCAGAAAUGUCCAAACCAACAUGAAACGCAUAACAAUUUUCCACAGUUUAACAUGUCAAAUUUCACAAGCAAUUCAACCAUAUACCAUAAUAUGAACUUUCUAUAACUCACACAUUUACACAUACAUAUAUAUGUAUACGUAUACUCAUCAUCAUCAUGCACAAUAUCCCAUCAUCAUCAUCACCAGCUCAAGCACACUCCUUACUCGCACAUGGCUGGGUCAUCACCGGGUUAUGCGCAUUCCCUACUCGCACAUAGCCGAGUCAAUGUCAUUACACAAUAAUAUAUUCAUAUAUAUAUAUCAACACCAUGUGGUAAUGCAUGAAUCAAUAAUAGUCACAUGUCACAACAUAAACCAUUUCUCAAGAGCUUGUUCGUAAGGCACUCAUUUUCUAAGAAAAGUUAUAUAAAAUCAUUCAAACACUUUGUACAAAACAGUCACAAAUUCCAAAAUAGUUUUGAUAGGCAGUCCACUCACCGAUUUAUUGUUGAGCCUUUAGUUGACUAUAAUUCCCCUAAUGAUCUAAUUGGAAGGAUAGGACUCCAUUAGAACCUAGGAUCACAUUAGCAUAAACAAUAGGUCAAUUCACACACUAUGAACCCUAAAAGCUAUCUCUUAGCUAGCUUUCAAUUGCCACAUUAAAUGGCUAUCUAUGUUCACUAUCUUAAUCACUAAAAAGUAAUGAACAUACUCAACUCUUAAUCUAAAUUACUAGCCAUUAUUUACAGCUAAAAAAUUGAAUUUAAUUCAUCACUCACCCUUGGGUUUCUUUGUAGUUAAAUUCUCUUCCAAUAGCUUCCAAAUAAAUGGGAUAAUUCUCUUUUUCUCUCUCUAGAGCGCCCAACUAGUGAGAGUAAGUCUGGAAAUAAGCUUUAUCAAUAGUUUUGAAGUGAGAAAGUGAAAGAAUUAAAGAGUUCUAGCCAAAAAGGCUCAAAAGUAUGAAAACUAGAGCUAGAAAGAGAAAAUUAUGCAAGCUCCAUAUCAAGCUUCCAUGGAGUUUUGAAGAAACGUGAGAGAGGAGAAGAAGAAGAAGACAAGCUGCUGGAAAAUGGGAGAAGAAGCUGCUAGAAGGAAGAUAUUUAUAGCCAAUCUUAUCCAUUCCCUUAAAAUUACAAAAAUGCCCUUCCACCAAUUAACUUAUUCUCCUCCAAUCUUUUAUGCAAUCUUUUUUCUCUUUUAACACUGGGACAAGAUCCAUAAUGGUCUAGACAUGUUCGGGUUCAUAAAAACUUAAAAUUUUAACCUGAGGUAAAAAUUGACCAUUUUGCCCCUAUUAUGAAAAUUGUUGUCAUUUCUAAUUUUCUUCUUGUUUUCAUUAGUACACAUCAUUUAUGCAGUCUUAUGCCUAUUUAGGCCUUAAAAUAUCAUAAAACUUUCUUCUGGAAGCUUAUAAGAGAAAAUGACGAAACUACCCCUGGCUCGUAUUAUUACAUCUAUACUUAGUUACAAGCCUAUAGAGGUUGGGGUCUCACAAGUGGACCGUCGAGUAAGUGGACAUCCUACCCAAUCUGCGUUAGAAAAAGCAUAAAGCACUAAAGGAUUGUGAGAUAAAAGCUUAGUGCCAAAUGAGAUGGUUCCUUUAACAUAACGCAAGAUUCUUUUCACAAGUUGAAAAUGAUAUUUUGUAAGAGAAUGCAUAAAUUGAGAUACAUAAUUAACACUAAAGGUAAUAUCCAGUCAAGUGAAAGUUAAAUAUUGUAAACCACCAACAAUGCUUCGAUAAAAAUGCAAAUCUUUAAAAGGAUCACUAGAGCAAGGAUAAAGUUUAGCAAGCAUGGGAGUGGAUAUAGGUUUACAGUUUGACAUUUGAGCUUUUUCAAGAAGAUCAUAUGCAUAUUUAGGUUAAUUAAGAAGGAGGCCUUGAGAAAAAUGAUGAACUUCAAUGCCUAAGAAAUAAUGAAUGUGACCAAGGUUUUUCAUAGAAAAUUCAUUAUACAAAUCUUGAAUGAAAGCAUUUAAAGAAUGAUUAUCACUGCCAGUUAAUAGAAUGUCAUCAACAUAAACCAGUAAAUAAAUGGUGCUAUUAGAAUGAUGUCUAAUAAAAAGAAAAGAAUCAAUUAUAUUACAAGAAAAACCAAUGGAAAGAAGAAAGAGACUAAAACGAUUAAACCAGGCACGUGGGGAUUGACGAAGACCAUACAAAGCUUUUUUCAACUUGCAAGCAUAAUGAAUCUUACUGUGAUCUUAGAAACCAGGCAGUUACUCAAUGGAGACAGGUUCAGUCAGUUUACCAUGAAGAAAAGCAUUCUUGACAUCCAAUUGUUUAAUUUCCCAACUAUUGGCUAAUGCAAUGGUAAAAACAAUCCUUAUAGUGACAGGUUUGAUGACAAGAGCGUAGGUUUCAAAACGAUCUGAUCCUUGUGCUUGUGAAUAUUGUUUUGCAACCAAACGAGCUUUGACUCUUUUAAGUGAGCCAUUUGAUUUUAACUUGGUCUUGUAAACCCAUUUACUGCCAAUGACAUGCAUAUCAGAAGUUCUUGGAACCAACUCCCAAGUAUCAUUUUCUUCUAAUGUGGUGAUUUCUUCUUUCAUGGCUUGGAGCCAUCUAGGAUGUGGAAUUGUAGACUUGAUGGUUUUUGGUUCAAAGGGAAUAUGAGCUAGAAAGGUAGAGCCAUAUUUAGGAUUUGAUUUGACAAUUCCAUUCUUUGAUCUAUUUGUCAUGGUAUGGAGGUUUGGUUGAGUGGAGGAUGUAGAAGGAGACAGAGGUAAGGAAUUUUGUUCUGUCAAAGGAGACGGACAAGUUGUUGGAAGACUUUCACUAUCUGACAAAGGUGAUUCAAGUGGAGAGCUAAUGAGUUGAAUAGAUGGAUGUAGAGGUGUUUCUGAUUGAGAGUGAGAGAGCUGAGUUAUGGGGAAUGGUGUGAUGGAAGAAGGUGUAAUGGUGUUUGCAACACUUGAAGAGCUAGUUGCAAGUGUUGGAGUAAAUGGAGAAGGACCGUUAUCUUGUUCUGGUUCACUAAUAGUUGGUAAAAUCUGAAAAGCUGAUUAACUGGAUGUGUCAAGCAUCGAAUCUAAAGUCCCUGCAUACCAUUCACUAAAUGAAGUAAUCUCAUAGUUAGAACAAUGUGCAAUAGUUAAAAUAUUUUAUUGCUGAAAAGGAAAUGUUUCUUCAUCAAAUACUACAUGUCGAGAGAUGUAUGUGCGUUUGUAAGUGGAUAAUAACAUCUAUAACCUUUGUAUAUCUCACUAUACCCUAAAAAACACAAGGCAACGAUCUAGGAUCAAAUUUAGUCUUAUUGUAAGCCCUUAAGUAAGGAAAACAACGACAAUCGAAUGUUCUUAAAGUUAAGUAGUUAGGUUGUCGAUUAUGUAGGAGUUCAUAAAAGCUCUUCCAAUGCAAUAUCCUAGAAGGUUAUCGAUUGAUCAACCACACAACAGUUCUAAAUGCUUCGUUCCAUAGAUAUUUGGGAAUUCCAUUAUGGAACAUCAUCGUUAGCCCUAGUUCAGUGAUAUUCUUUUGCUUUCUUUCUGCAAUGCCAUUAUGUUUAGAAAUAGUAAGACAAGACAUUUGAUGUUUAAUGCCAUAUUUAGAAAAAUAAGCAUGAAAUUUGGUAUCAUUAAACUCACCUCCACCAUUGGAUUGAAAAACUUUAAGUUUUUUGGUAAAUUGAUUUUCAAUGUAUUAAUGGAAAUCAAUAAAGCACUGUAAGAAAUCAUAUUUAUAUUUCAAAGGAAAAUACCAGGUGAACCUUGUAUAUUCAUCAAUAAAAAUAACAUAGUAACUAAAUUUCUGAUGUGAUAAAAUUGAUGCUUUUCCCCAUCAAUCAUAAUGAAUAAUAAAGAGAGGUUCCUUAUAGACUUUCAUUCUGGUUAGAAAUGGUAACCUACAGGCCUUGGCCAUUUGACAGCUAGUGCAGGUGUGCUCCAUAUCACUGCACUUAUCCUUACUAAAAAUUAAAUUUUGUUUUCUCAAAGUGUCAAUUACACACAUGUGAGGGUGUCCUAGCCUUGCAUGCCAAACUUUAGCUGUUGCAAAUUGAAAUCUAUUGGAAAACAGUACUUCUUACGUUGAGCUCUUUCUUGAGUGUAAGGCAUAAAGUCUUCUUUUCCUAUUUCCUAUUGCUACAACUUGCUUUGUCUCCUUGUCCUUUAUCACAAAUCCAUUAUAUGAGAAUUUACAAGUAUAAAGAUAAUGAGUAAUUAAUUGGUUAAUCGAAAGUAAGUUUUUCUUAAUCUCAGGCACAACAAGAAUAUUGUCAAUGUCUAAGCUAGUAUUUAAUGGAAAGAAGAAAAAGAUUUAAGAAAUGGGAUGGGCAAUUAGAUUUUUUUUUGGUAAGGAAAAGAUUUUGUUUAAAAAACAAAGAAAUAUAAGAGAUAUCGACGUGAGAGAGUAAGAAAUAAAUAGAAAGAUAAGCAAGAGAGAUAAGUGGGAGAGAUAAACAGAAAUAAAAGGUAAGAAAAGGAGGAUUUUAAAAUACAAGAAAAGAUAAGAGAGAGAGAUAUCAAAAAGAGAGAUUUUUUUUUGCUUGGAGACUAUAUAUAUUAGAAAGAGAGAUAAACGGGAAAGAUAUAUUAGAAAGAAAUAUUGGGAAGAUCGAUGGAGAGAAAAGAGGGGUUACAUCAAAAAAAAAAAGAAAAGGAGUUGUGAUAAAAGAUUGAGUCAGAAAAAAAGAAGAAGAAAGAGUUGUGACAGAAGAAAAGUGUGGGCUAUUAAUUUGUGCUUAAUCACUCUAAUAGCAUGAAGAAAAACUCAAUAGGGAAGCUGAGGAGAUAGGAAGUGAAGAAAAUAAACGAAGAAGAAGGUAAGAAGUGCAAAUGAUGAAUUUGUUAGUUUUUCUCUUAAUGUUUGGUGCAGAGAAAGUCUUUGCUUUUAUAGAGUACAUGAAUUGUUUGUAUGGAAAGCUUUCAACUGUAUAGAGAUAAUUUGUGCUGAAUUUUAGCACAUGUAAACUAUGAUUUGGGCCUACUGUUUGUACAUGAUUUUGUGCUGAUUUUUAGCACAUAUAGGCUAUUAUUUUGGGUUGCUGCUUGUAUAUCUGUGAGGUGAUUUUGUGUUGAUUUUCAGCACAUGUGAGUUGUAAUGGUAGUGUUGUUACUCUUUGCUUUAGAUGGGUGAUCUACUCCUACAAUCUUUUCAUAUUAUGUCUUAUGAAUGAAUGGUUAUCAUUUCACAAGGUGAUUAUUGAAACAUACUUUUAUCUAAAAGUUGUGUCUUACAAAAUGCAAAGAUAUCUUACAAAGAGUUGCAUUUAUGAAAUGGUUGUUUCUUUGAGAAUAGACACUUGCAAGCUUAUAUAAAAGACUUGCGACUAACCAUUUUGAGACAUAAAAAAAAAAACAAACAAGAGCUAAAAUAUCUAGAGCAAGAAAAGUGUUAUGUUCCUAAAAUUAACAUAAACACUUAAGUUCCUAUCAACUACAAAAAGAGUCCAAAUUCCUUAUAAUCUAUUUGAUCUAGAAAAUAAAACUCUCAAGUGUAUCUAAUGGUAUUCUCUUGUAAAAUGCAAAACAAAGUUCGAUGUUAGCUUUAUUGUAUCCCAAAGGCUAUUCGCAUUAUUCCCUUUGUAUGCCAAGUGAUAGAAACGAAAUAGGUCUUCAAGAUAACGUCUAUUUAAAGGCUCGUCUUGAAGUCAAUUUUACCAGUUCUUUGAAUUUCAUCUAAAUCUAUUUGUACCAACACUAAGAUGACUUUUUCUUUAGGUUCCUUUUUGCUCGUGGAGUUGUACUACCAAUUCUUUUGUGGGCAGCUUUUUACAGGAUGCAAAUGUACAUUCUUCACCCAGCUAAGGCAAGUGUUAUGUGAUCAAAAGUCUUUAGUCAACGAAAGACUUAAGACUUGAAGUGGCUGGUUGAUGGCUGGCUUAAUAAAAUAACAUGACCUUUUAAAAAAAACUAUAUAUGGCAAGUACACAAGCUUGAAAAUGGAUCGAUUUGGGUAGGACCGAUCCAAGAAUAAAACACAAAAUUGUGAGCACUAACAGUCGCUUUGCCAUAUGAACAAAUCUCUACAGCCUGGCUGCGUGUACGCACUAAUGAUGUUUCUUAUUGACAAUAACAAACCCUGAAAUUCCUCAGAACAAGCAAUGAUAGUUCUCCAAAUUCCCCUUUAUUCCAUGGCAGAGAUAAGUAGUGAAGACGGAACUCUUUUUUUUUUUUUUUUCAGUUUUUCACGACAAAUUUCGUCAUGAUUGCAAUUCGGACUUCCUUUCCAUUCACGUUCCUUUUUUUCUUGGUCGAGAAAAAGAGUGACUUUUCUUGCAUUUGGACAAAUCUAUAUACUUGCAUUUAAAUGUCAUCUAUGCUUAUCUUUUUAUACACGGUUCCGCGCAAUGUAUAUAAAACAAAGAAAUUGGUGGAAUCAAUGCCAGACCCUACGGUAGAGAGCUAGAAAAACCAAAGAUGGAAGAUCGGUCUUCUUUUUUUUAUUUUGAGCAAUAAAACAUAAACAAUUGCCACUUCAUCGAACCCGUUCAAUGUCCUUUAAGAACUUGACUUUGAUCUUGCUUAGCUUCGUAGCAAUUUCCUUCAUAUCAAGCCUCUCGUCAGGUAACUCUGCUGAACACUUUAGGGGUAGUUGCAAAAUGGAUGAUGCACAAUUCUUUGCUGCAGGCCAUUCUUUCUCUGCAGUACUUAGCAAAUUGGUGUCUACAACUUCAACUAAGGUAGAUGAUAAUAACUCUUUAACCCAACUAUUCAAGCUCAUUUCUCCUAAAAACAUCUCAUCUAUAGGCUUCUUUUUUGUGAAAGUUUCCGUCAUAAGAAUACUGAAACUAUACACAUCACCUUUUGUAGAAACGAUUCCUUCUGUUCCAUACCCUGUAUAUAAAUUUAAAUACAUCAGCAAUAUUCAAAAUUGAUGUUUCAUGAUAAUGAAAAAAAAAUGCUACUAUAAACUAUCUAGAGAUUAUAUUUAUGCAUGUUCGACUAUGUGCACAAGUAGGAAUAAUAACUUGGAGUAUUAUUACAAGUAUUACCUGGUUCCAUAUAGCCAAUCGUUGCAAUGGUCAUGGUUUCUAUCAUUGAAUCCUCUUCACAUAAGAGUUUUGCAAUGCCAAAAUCACUCAAAUGUGCAACCAUGUCUUCAUCCAACAAAACGUUGCUGAGUUUUGAAUCGCAGUGAACCACAAGCAUUGUAUGACCAUGAUGGAGAUAUUCCAAUGCAGAUGCAACAUCUAUCAUUAUGUUCAACCUUUGCAGGAUAUCCAAAAAAUAGUUGUUGGAAUACAACCAUUUAUCAAGAAUCCCAUUAGGCAUGAACUCAAGUACUAAAGCUUUGAAAUCAAUAUUACAGCAGCUACUGAUGAUUUUCAUUAAAUUUCGAUGACGAAUGUUGCGGAGAACUUCACACUCAAUCUCAAAGCUCUUAAAGGCUCCUUCGAACUCUAACUUGAAAACUUUUACUGCAAAUCUCAUCCCAUCUGAGAGAGUCCCUUGGUAUACAGAACCAAAAUUCCCUUUACCAAGCAAUCUACUUUCACUGAAUCCAUUUGUAGCUUGAUUGAGCUCAUGGUAUGAAAUUCGUCUCCAUGUUCCUAAAGGUAACAAAUCUUCUUCAGUUGGCAAUUUUUCUUACCUCUUCCCACUUCGUAAGAAAAUGAUAAUUAAAGCCAAUACUAAAAUUGUGGAAGCAAUAGGCGCUAGUACGUAUGUUAUAAGCUUAGCAGCUGCCUUGGAAUUUCUAAGAGGUUUUUUGCAUCUUGGAACUUGAAGUUGAGUUGCACCACACAAAAUUCCCAAUUUCUACCGGUAAACUCCCCUUCAAUUGGUUAAAUGACAAAGAUAAACGUUUUAACUCUUUGCACUUGAAUAAACUGGCUGUAAUUCUACUAGAAAGCAGGUUAUAACUCAAGUAAAGCCCUUCUAAUUUAGGAAAAUGAUCAAACAUAUCCUUCGGAAUAUGACCAGUGAGAUUAUUAAGGUUGAAAUUGACGAUUUGCAGCGAAAGCAAGUUGCGUGGAAUGGAUGGCAUUGAACCAGAGAGCUGAUUACUGCUAAGAUCAAUUUUUUGCAAUGAAGAGAUAUUGAAGAUGGAGGAGGGGAUUGAACCUGAAAGCUGAUUUUUAAACAAGCUCAAGAUUUUUAGCUUUGACAAAUAGCAUAAAGAAAAUGGGACAACACCCUUGAAGCUGUUACGGUACAGAAACAAGCUCUGAAGUUCAGUUAUGGAAGUGCCAAACCAUGAUGGGAUUUCCCCAGUGAAACUGUUGUUACCGAAAUGUAUAUGUUUCAGUCAAUGCAAAUUGGAUAAUUGGAUUGGUAAUGUGCCAUGGAAACUAUUAUUUGAUAUGAAAAGCAAAGAAAGGAAUGAUAAAUUUCCUAUGUGGGGUGGGAGGGUGGCUAAGAGUCCCAAGCCAGAAAGAUCCGGAGCUGUGACUUUAUGGUGCUUGGAUCCGCAACUGACACCAAACCAAUUGCUAACAGAGGUAGAAGAAGACCAAUUGGUUGCCAAGAGAUUUAUAGGGUCAUGAGUAACAUGUUCUUUCAAUGCAAGAAAAGCUGAUUGGUCUGUAGCUAUGCUGGUUAAUUUCAUAGAGAAAGUAGCCAUAAAAAAAUGGAACAUAAUCCCAACAAGCACAGCCAGGAUGAGGCAAGUGUUUUCCAUUAGAUUUUGUGGGUUGAGUCACAAAAAAUUAAGGAACAACUGAGAGAGAUAAUUCAUUCUUUUAUAUAUAUUUUUUUGGGCUGAAAGAGGUGAAAUUGACAUCACUUUACAGCAGUCAUUUUCUUGUAUAAUGGCAUGUGACAAAAGCCCUGUAGCAAAUAUUCUGACUUUUCAAUUGCUUUUCUAUGGUCAAGUAACUUCGUUUUCUAGCUUGACAGACCGCAACUCCACAACUUGGAAUACUAUACCAUAUAUGGCAAGUGCAAGUUCUUCAAUAUGGAUAUGGGUAGGACCGGCGGAAGAAUAAAUCACAAAGUUGUGAGCAAUUGGCAGUCACGUCGCAAUAUGAACAACAAUACUUUCUAAACGAUUUCUACCUAUACAUAUAUAGAAUUUUCAUUUCUACUGGUAUUUCAUUGGCUGAAUUUUAUAUAGAACGAUGUUAAACCUGUAAAUUUUCUGCAAAUUGAUCACCUACACUUCAUUGAAUAACAGUUAGGAACCUCUUUCUGGAAGUUGAUGAUCAAGCUCCAAUAGCCAGUUACAAACUCUUGCAUUGAACUAUAACAACGAUUUCUUAUUUUCUAACUUGACAGAAACUAUGAAUAUUGGAAUACAUUUAAAGCUAUACUGCAAUACUGAUUUCUUUUUCUUUUUCUUUUUUUUUUAAAUUGCAAUACUUUUAAUUCUGAUAAAUACCACUUUUCUUUUUAAAGGGGAAAAUUUCCAGUCACUAACUUUUCAUGAUCGAUUUUCUGGCAUUUUUUUAACAUACCUUCAAACCCAUGUGCGGCUGCCUAACUUUCCAUGAUUUUGAUUUUUCUUUUUGGGUAUGGGACCAGGCGGCUAGACUUUGUCUGCAAUCUCAAGUCUCUAUGUUUGAGCAUAUAUAUCAACAUUGCACAAACAAUGAGGAGAAAGAGGGAGUUGGGGAGCAGGCCAUGAUUGUCAAAGCCAUAUAUAAAUAUUAAUUAAUUAAUCACCCAAAAGGCCAAAAGUUGAAUUCACUUUACACCCAAUAAUAGAUUGUAUUAGUGAAGAAGAAAUGAUGCAAUCUGACAACAGCCUGGAAAAAGAAUCACUUAAACAAGGAAAAUUUUACAGAGCCAAAUCCUGUACUGUCUAUACAGCAUACCCAACACACAUGCAAAAACCAUAAACCACCCUGUUUUCUUUUUUUCAUCUUAACAGGAAUUUCCUGCAUUUUCAUCAUGCAUUUCCUGCAUAAUAUACACCCCUACUAUCCCUCUAGUCACAAUUUUGGUUUUAGCCAUGGAUAUGAUCAAUUUCAUGCUAAAACUGCUGCGGCCUGAGUCAACUACCCACCAGGAUGAUGCCAAGAACUAUUGCUGGCAAAUGGUGAACUUUGAUUCUUCCUUACUAUAACUAAUACUCAUAUGUCUUUGAUUGUAAAUUAAUCAACCAGAACAGUAGUGCCAAUUCUAAGUAUAUAGCUCCAUUCAAACAAAUAGUGAACAUGUGUUCUCUGCCACUACAACAAAAAGUAGGGGACAAGCAGCUUUACAAUAAUGUAGUAAAUCCAAUACAAUCUGCACUCAUUCAAUUAACUCUUCUUUACACAAGAAAUUUGAACAUCUUCAUCUGCACAUUAUAUCAAAACAUUUUUCUUCACAUCUUUCCUUUACAAAGAAUCUUCCUAGAAGUCAAAAGCAAAAGAAUUUUAGAGCAUCGACUCAUUCAAUAUUGUUCUCAAGGAUUUUUAAGAAGCAUACUUGAUGAUGAAUGUUCUCGAGUCUCAUCUGGGAGAGAUAUUGAAGAAUCAAUCCAUGGUCCAUCCAUAGAUGUGCUUCUUGGGGCCUGACUGUCAUGAGAAAAUAUUGAGACAUUCGUUUGGCUGUCAUGUGAUAGCAUCUCAAAGGCUUUAAACCGAGCAUCCUGGUCUGCAUCCUUGCGCUUGAUUAUUGGAGCUUGAACAGCAAUCUUGCCUUCCAUCAUACUCACAACAGAAGACAUGGAUGGCCUUAGAGUGGGAGAUGGAUUGGUGCACAAAAGAGCCAAGUUAAGCAUCCUUAAUGCCUCUUCUUUUGAGUAGUGUGAACCAAGACUUGGAUCAACUAGCUCUAAAAGGUUUCCUUGCUCUUGCAGGACAUAGGCCUGCAAUCAUAUAUCCCCACAUGAUCAGAAAAACAAAGAAACAGCAUAAAGUCGAAACCAAAGAUUACACAGUAGAAAAGCAAGAGCUGAUAAAUAUAGCUCACCCAAUCAAGGAGGUAAACAAACUCCUCCUUAGGCCUGUAAUUUGUGUUGCUCUUCCCACUGACAAUCUCCAAAAGAACAACACCAAAGCUAUAAACAUCUGCUUUGUCAGUCAAGUAACCCCUCAUUGCAUAUUCAGGGGCCAUGUAACCUCUGGAUAAGAAAAAAAUACAAAAAAUGUCAAGUAUAGCACUAGCGAAAUGAAGUUAAGAUAGCAGUGUCUGCAUGAUAUUUGACGUAUUACAUGUGGUUUACAUAAUGCUAGUCACCAUAUUGCUUAGGCAUCUGCUAAUUCCCUAUUAUCUUUUUACUAAAAUCUGCUAUAAAGUAACUGGACUAAAAAUCAACAGCAUUGUCUUUUUGGGUCAAACAGCAAUGUCUUGAUAAGAACAGACAUCUUUUUCACCAUAUUUAUCCAAAUUUAAGGAAAACUUUAAGCCCUUAUUUCGAUAUUUUAAUUUAAUCUAUCAUUAUAGAAAAAUACUAAAUUAAAGCAAAAAGAUGCAGGAUGGGAGACAGAGGGAGACUCACAUUGUUCCAGCUAUCCUGGUGCUGAUAUGAGUGUUCUCUUCUUCAUCAAGCUUGGCCAAUCCAAAGUCAGAGAUCUUAGCAUUAAGAUCCUUAUCAAGCAGCACAUUUGUUGCCUUAAUAUCUCUGUGAACAAUUUUCAGUCUUGACUCCUCAUGAAGAUAAGCUAAACCUCUUGCUAUUCCCAAGCAUAUUUUCCUUCUGGUUGACCAGUCCAAGUUAAGACGCUGUUCAUCACGACCUGAAAAGAAAUGACAAGAGAAAAAAGAAGAGACUUUUUAAGUCAUAAUUAUCUUUCUUGAAAUAUUAGUAUAAGAUGUUAGUGAAGCAUUUACCAAAAAGUGCACGAGCAAGACAGUUGUUUUCCAAGUACUCAUAUAUUAGCAACAACUGAUUUCCCUCAAUACAACAGCCAUAAAGCUUCACAAGGUUUGGGUGUUGCAAUGCAGAAAUCAUCCCUAUCUCAUUCACAAAUUCACGAUUUCCUUGCUUAGAUUUAGAGGAUAGCUGCUUAACUGCAAUUACUGUACCAUCUGACAGUACACCCUACAAUCAAGCAGAGUGAAAAUUCAGAAAGUAGUUCAACAAAUAAUCCUUUCUCCCUCUUAGCACAAAGAUUGGAUAUAUCACAAACUAGACACUUUAUCUUAUUCGGAAUACUAUAACCAAGGGUUCUAAUCUUAGACUAAAAUGAAAACAAUUAUUACCUUGUAAACUGGCCCAAAUCCUCCUUCACCAAUCUUAUUUGCAGCAUCAAAAUUAUUGGUAGCAGCUUUCAUUUGUCUUAAACUGAAGUAUCCAGUUUGAAGAUCUAGCCCAUGAAGUUCUGUAAUAUGAGCAGAUUAAAAGAUUUAGCCAGUCAUAAAGAACAUCAGAAACAAUACCAGUUUCUACUCUUCUUUUUUGGGGCUACGAAAGUAAAAGUCAAAAAGGCUUAAGUAAUUAUUAUGAACAUAUUUCUUGCAUAAAUGGUCUUACCAUUGUUUUCAGCAUUUUUGCCACCCAAGUAACCUUUCAGUCGGAGGAUGAUCAAUAGCAAGAUGACAAUUACACAUGAACCAAUCACAAUACCAGCAAUGGCUCCAGCUGAUAACCCAUUCCCCGUGUCAACCUUAAAGUCUAAAAGACAAGAUAGGAGUUAAUGAAAGACCAGUUAAGAAAUUAGCAAUGAGCAAGUUCUUCAAUUUGACAUGGACUUACUGGGAGUUACUGUAAUGGCAGAUAUAAGUGGUCCAUAGACCCCUCUGUCAGGAAUGGCAGUGGUUCCUUUCCCCCUCCAGUAUAAGUGAAUCUCCAGAGUACUUCCAUUUACAUCAACAUUGAAUUCCCUGCUGAUGCCCCUCCGCACACCACCAGCUUCCUGCAUAAUAUUGAAAUUCUCCAAAACCACAUUCCCCUGCAGAAAAUUAAAACUAGAGUUUCAGAAGCUAAACUUAUAUGUUGAACACAUUUUGAACAGAAAGGAAACACUCAGAAACUUUCAAAUUACAUUUACAGUUUUAUCUAUAAACUUACAACACAAAACUAAAGGUCCAUGAAUAUAGCUACCGUAUACUUACUUGAAUUGAUACGUCAAAUAUGCGCCUUCCAAGACUCUCAAAUGUCUCAUUAGCAGAAUACAUUAUCUCAGCAAAGUGAAGUUGCACUUUAUAAUUGCCUUGUCUCAAACACAAGCCAUAGUACUUCAGUGAUUGAGGUGAAAGCCGUGCAGUUUUAUAGUAGUCUGGACCAGUCACAGCAGAUGAAGUUCUUGCAAUGUAAGGGGCGUCUUCUUUGCCCAAAAAAACCCCUGUACUACUAUAGGCCCACUUAUUUGCUGAAGAAAAAUAGUUUGAUGGACCAAAUCUGCUUAGGUCCUCUUCAUAGUCAUCUCCAUCAACACUCAUCGUCUCUCCUCCACAAUUAAUAAACAAGGAAUGGUCUGCAGACAAAUAAGCAAUGUAUAUUAGAGAAAUUUCUCAUGAGAAGGACAAGAAGAUUGAACAAAUAACAAGCACAUAUAAUUCCCAAAAGCAUAAUAAGAUAUGUAAUUAUACUUACGGUUGGGAUUUCUGGGACAAGGAAGGUCCUUCCUUAAGCACCAAGAGAUUCUGCCAAUUAAGAAUGUAACUUCAGUUACCAAUUAUUUUCUAAAAUCAAUUAUAACGAUGAAAAGAACGAUAGAAACAAAACUUACGAGUUGCUAUCUGAGGAUGAGAAACUGGACACUAAGUUCCUGUUAAGUAAUAAAAUGAUAAUUUUAGAGAAUAUACUAGAUGGGAUACAUUAGUAAUAGAAACGAAAGGACAUUGAAGAUUCAUGAAACAUCAAGAGGCUUACACAUUUGCCUGUUGGCAACUCAUUUGAGAUGAGUCUGUUGUGAAAUUGUUGUAAGACAAAUCUCUGCAAUGAAUAUUUUCAAACAAUUAGUUUGAACUAGCAGUCACUACAAGCAAUCAAUAUUCUUAACAUAAAAAGAAAUAUUUAGAGCCGGGAGAUGGACUGACAUGUUGUUGUCGCUUUGUAAUAUCCAAUUUGGCACUGCUCCACUCAAUGAGUUGUUAGUCAGAAACCUAAAUCAUAAAGUUUCACAUCUCAGUUUUAAUUUAUGCAAGAAGCAAAAAGUAAAGAUGAAAAGAAAUUGCUUACUAGAAAGGUAAGCAUUUCCAUUUAAUAAUGCUUAGAUUUUUAUCGACUUACAAGAAGUUUAACCUCGUCAAACUCUGCAAUGUUGAUGGAACUUGACCAGUUAGGUGGUUGAAGCUCAGGUCCCUAUAGCAGAAGUCAUGUAAGCAUAAAUUAGAAGAAAAUUUUCCUCAUUUGAAUCUAUCUACCAGGGUACAGUUUCUAACAAAAUUGGAUUACCACAUAUAUUAGUGAGCAAAUGUAAAACAUUUGACAAUAUCCUAAGGGUAAUUAUUUCAUAUCUUAGGUGUAAAUCAACUAUCAGGAUGAAGAGACAGCUUAUUGGACUUUCAUAGUAACUAAGAAAAUUUUGGCAUGGACAAACAAGUCAAACCUUGAGCAAAGAAAUCAGCCUGUCCUUGAAAAUAUGAGCAUAUACAUAUCAAGCUAUCAACUAGCAGUGAGAAAUAAAAUACUAGUAAUUGAGACUUUGGUAACGUAAAAUGCAAAUUCCAAGUCUCAAUUCAUAUUUCAUCAAACCAUCCAAAAGGUUGUCACUGCAGAUAAUUGUCAUGAGUUUUUCAUAGGUUUUGUUUCUAGAGGCAAAUUCAAAAUAAUGAAACAGAAUUGGGAUAAAUGGUGUGAAACACUUCUGCUGUUAUAUUCAAUUUGAUUUUCACUAUUAUCUUCAUUGAAAAAUCAAAUCAAGAAUCUUCAAAAGGACUCAAAUAAUCAUGCAAACUUACAAUGUUUUCAAUGAUAUCAUUUCCCCUAUAUAGGCAGGGAUUGAACCAGAAAGCAAGCAAUUUCGCAGUACCCUGAGUCACAAAAUUAAAACAAAUCCUCUGAUGAGACAAACAUUAAAAACAAUGAAUUACAAGGAAAAACUUCUUACAGUAACCAAUGGUCAUCAACUCACAAUUCGUCCAUAUUUGUCAUUCCCUCCAAAUUAGGGAAUGCUGAACUUGAACCUUUCAAAUCAGAUAUCCUCCUGAAAAUGAUGAGAUAUUAGAAUAUUAACAGAUGCUUGAUAACUUCAUCUUCUUGCAUCUCCCAAUUAUUGUCAUGGAUAUUGUUGCCACACAGAAUAGAGCACUAACGAUUUGAGGAAAGAACACUCACAAAUCGGUUAAGUUUUUUAACUCAGAUAUAGUAGAAGGAAUUGGUCCUUCCAUUGAUGUGCCUUGCAUAUCCCUGCAAGAGAUUAAAAUCUUUAUAAAUAACAACAAAAAGGUAAAAGGAGGGAAAAAAACAGAAUACAAUUUUAAAUAGUUUCUCUAUUAAAAUGAUAAAGUAGGUAACAACAUAGGAUUUGAUACUCACAAUCUUGUAAGUUUGGUCCAAUUCCCAAUAAAAUCAGGUAUCUUCCCUGACAAACUACUUCCAUCUAUCCGGCUGCAAGACGCAUUUCAGAAGGUCAGGAUUUCGCAAAACAGUAUGAUGAAUUUUCAGAUAUCCACAUCAGAUAACACUUACAAAUCAGUUAAGUUCUUCAAAUUGCCAAAUGAUUCAGGAAUUGUGCCUGUAAAAUUGUUUGCUGAAAGAAGACUGAAGGAGUAGAAAAAGUCAGUUAUAACUCAAAUAGGACAGAACAUACAUCGGGAAUUCACUCAACAAAUGCCAUUGAACUCGAACAAGAGAAAAAUUCAAAAUAAAAUAAAAUUUUGCAUGUUGUCUGGAACAAUGGGUGGUACAUUCAGGCAGUUUUCAGCAGUAACUAAGCUCAUAUUCAUAAAAACCAUAAUUUGUGAAAAACCAACUAAAAUCCAUCUUAAAGACAGUUGCUAGACCUGUAUCGUUUUUUGUUUUACUUUGAUACAUCAAUCUUUGCAUAAGGUAUCCAGGAAACAGAAAAUCCCACAGUAACCAAUUUUCGAAAUCCAGGAAACAUAAAUUAAACUAGACCAUCAAAACUUUGGCUAAAUGAAUUGUAUAACAGUGUAAAUUGAGAACCAGAUCCACCUAUAUAAUUAGCAUCAAUUCCAUAUGGUUCUUUACUUGGUGCCAUUUCAUCUCAUUGUUAAUAGUAAUCAUAUAACAUUUUUAAGGCUGAGAAAAGAACUUACAGUCUAUUCAAGCGGCCCAAAUUUCCUAGGUUGGAUGGAAGAGACCCCCCAAGCAGAUUAUCUUCCAAAACCCUGAAAACAAAAUUUAAUUUGGAAUUGAUAUAUUAUACAACAACUUCUUUGUUCAAGUACAUGCAGAUUUAUGCAUCAUGACUUACAGUCCUUCAAGUGUAGAAAUAUCACCAAUUUCCUGAGGAAUUGAACCACUAAGACGGUUCCCCAAAAGUGACCUGAAGCAGUUAGAAAAGGUGACCAGUUAUAUACCUUCAUUGAUGGCUAAAUAAUCCUAUGGCAACUAGCAAAGCACCUGACAGAUAAAAUGAAAAUAGUAACUUACAAGUUGGCAAGAGGUAGACGAGACAAACUCGAUGGAAUCGAUCCAUUAAGAUAGUUGCGAGUGAGAUCACUGUUCAACAAUGGAAGCUUUGCUAAGUACUUUUCCAAUCUCAGAUAAGCAUUAGAGAAACAGUUGAUAUUCAACAGAUCAUUACCUUCUACCAAAUGAUUGGACAGACUUUUGCAUUGUUAAGCAUAGAAAAUUUUAAAAGGAGAAAAAGGGGAGAAAGCUAAUAAGUGGAUAGUUUCUCUGAAGUAUUUUUCUUUGUCAAUAUAAUGUGAUUCCUGCACCUGUUAACUAAAUCUAGAACAGAGAGCAUAUGAACUUGAUAUUUAUCCCAGCAAUUUGAAGUUUAAACAAAUUGUGAGCCUGGUCUCUCAGACAAAUCAUAAUCACUAAAAGGAUUGUUUAUUGUUUACUACAAGAAAUAAUUUUAACAAUGCCCUAUAUCUAGAACAUAAUAAAGCAGUUUCAAAUCCUAUCAAUCCAUCCAGGCUCAUUUAGAGACAACCUAUUAACAAAUGAUCUCCAUAUUCUAGUAUAUUUGUAAAGUGAAUUGAAUGAAUUAAUGAACCAAUGAGGUAAACUGAAUUCCUAAUGUUGAAAAAUAAAUACAUAUAACUUACAUUACUUCCAGAUGAGUAAGGUUUCCAAAUUCUGGUGGUAUAACUCCAGUCAUAUUGUGACCCUUUAUCAAACUGUUACAGCAAAGCAAAAAAAAUAAAAAAUCAAUUAAGAAGGAAACAUAUAUAUAUAUAUAGAAAAGGAUGUAAAAUACUAAUAAUUUUGAUACAGGACUAAGAAUCUAGUAACCCCAAUAGGAUCAAGCCUGGGAAUUGAUGACAUCUUCAUAGAGUGAAUUACAUAAUCAUUAAAAGCUUUUUUCAUUAGAAACUUUGACAAGAAUUACAUAAAUGAUUGUUUAGUGGGUAUUAAUUAACAUAACUAGUAUCAAUUUCAGCAUUCAGUUUUGGCCUGCUGCUAAUUUGCCCCAGGAAUAUAUGCCUUCUCUGCCAAAGUUUUAAACUAGUUGCAGAUAAUGAACCAAAACAAUUAGUCCUAAACAUAUUCACUACAACAUCUCCUUAUAAUAUUCUCAGAAAAGAGCCUAAUGUUCCCUCUUGAUCAAUGUUCCAUUGCAGUAAAGAAAAUAUCAGUAGAAUCUGCAUGACUGAACAAACCUAAUACAUUGUAUGUAUGUAAGCAAAUCCUUGCUAAAAAGGAAGAAGAAAAAGAGAACGUACAUUUGAGUGACGUGGCAGACAGUGUUGUUGCCAUCAGAACAGUUACACGCAAUAAGGCUUUCAGUAAGUUCAGUAAUGGUAUAGUUCCAUCCAGGCUCAGUGCAAAAGGUUCGGCUGAUGCCAGUAGCAUUUGGAUGCUGCAGCUUCGAAAAUACAGUUUGAAGAGUUUGCACUGUUGCAGACAAGUCCGAGAAAUUACUCAGUAAAUACACAUACAUAAUAAUAAAAAUAGUCCUUUAAUCAGUUUAUCAUUUGUUCUUAAUUGAAUCAAAUGUUCAGCAAAGGAAAAACAUGUUCCAAGAUUUUCCAUUGGACGCGUGAAAUAAAUGCAACUGUAAGAAGUUUGGAGUCAUUAUGAUGAGCCUAAAGAUUGAUGGCACAUCAGAUUUGACCAGGACAAACAUGAGAAAAGUCAAGGCCAUAUAAAAUAUUCAGAUUUGACCAUUCAGUAACAGUAGACACCAUGGUCAAACUCAGGAUGCUGUUUUUCUGCUCGUAAUGUCAAACAUGUUCAGAUUUAAAGAAAAUAAAUGGAUUAUCAAAACCUGACCCCAGCUUAACUGUUUGACUAAAAAAAUUCACGAAAGGAAUGUAAACAUGGCCAGCUAAUUGGCCAUUCAUGCUUAUAAAAAUGUAGGAUGAAGACAGAUAUAGUACUCAAAUUAGCGGCAAAGAGAAGCAGCCCCAUCAAGCAAUAAUUGCUACCAGACAAAGGACAUUGCAAAAUCUAAUAACUAAUGGAAUCAUAUUAAAAAUUUACUUAUACUAAUAGCCAUCACUGCCAAGGGAAUAAAGUCUAUAUCUGAUCUAAUCACCGAUGGAAACCAUCCUAUGACUGUGAUUUUCCUUAUUUAAGUGUUUAAAAAUUCACAUGAACAAAGAGCAGAUGAAAAACACUGGAUGUUGUUGGCAUAGAAAAAAUGGCAAGUGGUUUGGUGAUGGGCCUUGAAUUAAUGAAGUUCUGAAUGUUUCUUAAAAUAUCUCUUAUUGACCAAGUCAACAUGUACAAAUAAUGCAAGGCAGGUAAGGAAAUGCCCCAAAUCUAGGCAAACUAGUGGGGCCAUCAGCUAUACCAAAUAAUGAAUGAAAUGGACUGGAUCAAAGUUGAGUUUGAAAUGAGAAUCACUAUCUUUCUGUGGUAACAUCCCUUUGAUAGGAACUAUUCCUUUUUUCUAUUGAGAAUUGCCAAAUGUUUGAGAUAAUGAAAGCUACAUAUUUAGAAGCAUAGAAAAACAAAUAUGGAAGACCAUAAACAUACAGCAGGGAAUCAGAUUGUAGGUCAUCUUAUUUUGAAAGCAACUGACAGAUAGUCCAAGAAAACAAGCAUCCAACAAAAUUAAAAAUUAUCAAUUAUCCUAAUCAUCUGUCGUCUUGCUGAGAACAUGUUAGGGGUUCAAACAAAUCUCUAGGUUUUUGUUUCACUAACAAAAGACAGAAACAAUAACAUAAAGAAGUUACAGGAUAAGGAUAUAACAUUGUCUUUAAACAUUCAUCCAUUUUCCCAGAAACCAAACAGAACAGAGGAAAUACCUUAAACAAAAAAUGCAUCAAUCCAAGAAAACCCAUGUGAGAAAAGUGGAGAUGAGUGAUGAUUAAUGCAGAGGAAUUAAAGUAAAACAAAGUCAAAUCAAAUUUUUCUGCGGAUAGAACAGAGUAGCAAAAGAAAAUAGAAACAAGAAAUCCCAACUUUAAUGAACUCUUUAAAAAUAUUCCAAGAGUUCUUUUUCUUCACGUAAGCCAUGUUUUCUGAUCAAUCACAUCAAAACUUCAACAUAAAUUAUUAAGAGAGAAAAAGAGUCCAAAAUUUCAAUCCUAUUCGUAAUUUUUUACUAGAAAUUCCCAGCGACCAAACAGAGCUAUCUGCCAAUACAUCAUACAAGAACAAAGAAACUAAACCAGCAUUGUCCAAAAUGACAAAAACAUCUUUGUCGUCAUAUAUUUUCUCAUCACCAGAAAAAACAUAAUGCAUUCCAUGUAACAUAACGCUUUUAAUCACAUUUUAACUUCUUAAUGCUUCAAAUUCUGUAAAACCUUCUAAUUUGUUGCCAAAAUUGCUAAGUCACAUAUAGCCAAAAGAAUCAUUCUUACUAAAAACAUUACAAGAAAGUUUGCAUCCCAGAAACUAGAACAUAAAGUGAAGAAUAAAAAAUUAAAAAUCAGUUUUUUCUUUCUUUUUCUCUCCCAAUCCUCUGUAACCAAACAGAGUAAGUUCUAUUCAAAAAGGAACAACACCCACAUCCUUAAAAAUUUUCAUCUCUUUUACCCUUGAAUUCUCAGGAACCAAACAGAGCAACAUGAACUUAAACAGUCAAAACAAAAGAAAGAAACACCGAAAAAUAUACUACUAAAAAAGAACUUAACAAAGUAUGAAUAAAGGUGGUUGGUUAUUCGCAUACCUUCAGUUUCAGGCAAAAGUUGAGCAUUUGAUCCAAACUCAGUAAAGCAAUUCAAAGCCAAAAAGCCCAGAAGAAGUACACAAACCAUCUUAAAUACAGAGAAAACAAACCCCAUUUUCCUCUUCUUCCACCCCAAGACUUUCUCCCCUUUCUCUUUGUCUUAAAACCAAAAUAUAUACCAUACACUUAUAAACCCUUCAAAACAACCGCAACAAGACAAAAUAAACUAACGUUACAAACAAAGCGAAACACUAUGCUUCUAUGUUCUUCUUUGAACUAUGAUUCGUUUGAGAAACGAAGUGGAGUUGUUAUGGUUAUGCAAGACAAGAAAGAAAGGUUAUAAGGGAAGACGUCGUGUUUUAUUUUAUUGAAAGAAAAGCAAACGUGGUCAGAAAAGGAACACGAGUUAUUUAUUGUGCUAGGAAUUGAUAUUUUUAUUCUGGUUUUUUAUUUUUUUUUUAAUGUAAAAGAAAAGAAAAGACAGAUGUGAGUAAAUGAAUAAGACUGGGACUGGCGAGGGAGGGAGAAGCCGCCGAUUAAGGCUUUCUACAUCAGCGGGCGCUGCCUUGGAAACUGCUACAGUGCACACACGCUUUGCUUUUCUGCCGGCUGCCGGCAUUAUUUAUACUUAGAAUUAUAGUAUGUACAAUUUUUUUACAUAACUUUGUAUAUAUUUAUAUUUAUGUUUAUACCUUAUUUUCAGACAGGUGUGCCUUAAUACCUUGAAACCUUGGUAAAUGUAUUUCAAGUUUGCAAGUGCUAGUUGAAUGACAUAAAUGUGAAAGAAAUGAAAAAAAAAAUUAAGGAAGUGAAUGGGAAAAGGAAGACCUUUUGAGCAAUUUCCCUUCAAGAUAAAUAUUUGGUGCCAUGUUAUUUCUAACCUAUGCCUUUGAUGAAUAUACAUCAAGAUUAUACGUAAUGAAAUCAAUUGCUUGAUACAAGGUGGACUUUGCUUGAAGGAAAGGUUAGAGAAAUAAAAGCAAAAUGUAGAGGAAGAUAAAAUGGAGAUAGAAAAGUAUAAGACAAGGGCCAAAAACAAAAUUGUGGGCUUUUCUAGCAAACUAUCCAUGUGCGAAAGAGAAUAAAACUUUUGACCUCUUCCAUUUUUUAAAGGCACUUUGCUCCAAAUUGCAGAACCUUGAUUUUUACCACCUUUCAAUUCCAUAGUCAAAAUGAGAGAUUGAUCAAACCAAUUUGAAAAAAAAAAAAAACAAGGUCAAUAAUGGGAACUCGUAAUUAAAGGUCUAAAAGGCCUCUUUGGCCUUAAUGAUUCUACUAAUCAAACUUGACUUUUGGAAAACUUGAUGCAAAGAACAUCCAUAAAGUAGCAAAAUAUUAUUUGAAAUUUCAAUCCAUUACGUAAUCAAACACUAAUUUGGAAAGUUCAAAUUCAGGUGGCUGACCCGCGUACGGAACCGUACCAAAUUUAAAAAUAAGAUUAUGCAUUUUUUUCUUAUUUUUAUCUUUUUAGCAUUAUGUAGUACCAUUUAAUAAAAAAAAAUUACAGAACCGUCUGACCUCAAACUAAUAAUUAUCAGUAAAAAUAUUUUUUUUUUGUAAAAGGAAGUGUAUACUUUUUUAUUUUGUUAACUUUAAGUAAAUUACAUCUAUAAUUACUUAAAUUUAUUAAAAUUUAUACUUAAAUCAUUGUAAUUUUUAAAAUUAUACUUUAAUCAUCAAUGUUUAUAAAAUUAUACAUUAAUAAUAAUAAUAAUAAUAAUAAUAAUUAUCAAUAGUUAAACACUUGAGCAUUUAACUCAUUGAUUUGUGCAUAAUUUUUUUAAUUAAAGAGUAGAGUUCGAAUCUUCUUUUUUCAAUUUUUAAAAUAAAAAAUUUUACUCUUUAGAUGGAGAAUCCCCAUCUCUAAUUUCAAAAAAAAAAUUGACUCUUUAGAUAAUGAAUCCCCAUCUCCAAUUUAAAAAAAAAAAAUGACUCUUUAGAUGGCUAGUUAGCCUUUUAUUUUAUGACAAUGAAAAUGAUAUUGGAAGUAUUCAUGAAUUGAAUUGAGCUUGUCCAAUCUCUCUUUUUAAAAAUCAAAUCCAAGUUUGAUUUAGCUGGUUUAUUUUUACGUUUUUACUAUUAAGUCUUGACACCUUGUCACGUCACUAUCUAUAUAAGCUUUUAAAUAAUGAAGACUAAGUUAGCUUUUUUAUUUUAUGACAAUGAACAUGAUAUUAUAGGCAUUCAUGAAUUGAACUGAGCUUGUCCACUUUCUCUUUUUAAAAAUUAAAUCCAAGCUUGAUUUAGUUGCUUUAUUUUUUACAUUUUUACUAUUAAAUCUUCACACCUUGUCACGUCACUAUCAAUAUAAGCUUUUAGAUAAUGAAGACUUUGCUAAAUAGUAAAAUUUCUUGCUGUAGUGAUCCUUAAGGUAUUUCAAUACCUUAAUAGCUGCUUGCAAAUGAGAACUUCCAUGUUUGUCUAUGAAUUGUGAUAAAACUUGGACAAGGUCGAUGAAAGUUAAAUAUAACAACUUUCCAAUUAAUUGUUUGUAAUUAGUAGCAUCUAACAGUUGAUCGUCACCAUUAGUUUUGUGAUUGUAAUCAAUAAGAGUGGAUACUAAUAUUACUCCCAAAAAAUCCUUACCCAUCUAACAAGUCUAAUGUGUACUUCCUUUAAGCACUUAUAGAUCCUUGACUCAUCUAAUGCCAACCUCCUGAUCCACAUGACAUUAAUGGGAGUUUGGUGUCUGGGAUCUCACAUCGCUUGGUUGUGGAAAAGUGCAGAUAUUUAUAAAGCAGUUCAUUGGUUGCACGUUAAGACAUGUUUAAAAGCUUAAGGUAGCUUGAAUCAAAUUAGGCCAAUUCGCACAUCCAUAAAAAAUUUAGGUUUUGGACACCUCUAUACUAAACAAAACAAAUUAAUUGAACGUAAUAAAAAGAUAAAAAUUUAGUUAAAAUUUUUUUAAAUUUUAUAUUUUGAAUAAAUGCCAAACUUAUUUCCGAGUAUGAUGACUAAGAAAAGCUAACAACAUAUUUAAUUUAACAUCAAGAAAUUUUCUAUUCACAAAGAAAUCAAGAAAUAUAUGCCCAGGACAAUUAGGUACGAUGAAACUGAGUUCAAUCAAAUGUCAAACUAUAUUUAAUAAAUAUUGUGCAAUACAAUAGUAUCAAUGCAUUAUUUGCCUAAGUAGAGUAUUUGAUUCAAGAAUUGCAAAAUAUGUGUGAAAUUUUGAAUUAUUUUAUUUCAUAAGUUGUAUACAAAUUUUAGUACAACUCAAAUCUCAUCACAACUUGGUUUAUUCUAUAUGUUUUCCUAGGAAUUAGAAUACCAAAGACCAAUUAUCUACGCUUAAUUUGACUCAAUUACUCUAUCAUGAUUAAGUAAUCCUUUAAGUGUGGUGCGUUAAGAGGGUUAAGGAAGGUAUCGGGCUCUCUUUUACUGUAGCGUGAUCCAGCCCAUUCUUUCAAUAAACCAAAAAAAAUCAUAUAAUAUGGUAGUUUGAUACUUAUUUUGGGUAUAGAAUCCUUUCCGCAGUUUAACCUUGUAGAUGAUGUGCUGAUGAUAAGGUAAUCCUAUCACAACCUGAUUUUAAUUUUUUUGUCAAUAUUAAAAGAUUGUUAACAUAUUUUUAAGUUAUUUCAGGAUUUCGAAUUAAUUUUUAAAAAAGUCAGCUAUAUGGAGUGGGUAUUAAGCACAAUAUGAUGAACAAGUGGGUUGCCCUCAUUAAUUGCAAAGCUGGUACGCUUCCAGCCAACUAUUUGGGGCUGUCGUUGGGUGCCAAACAAGGCUUUGUUAAUAUGUGGCAACUAGUUAUUUAGAGGGUCGAAAGCAAAUUAGCCUCAUGGAAAGCUAACACCUUUUUAAUGGGUGGUUGUGUCACACUCCUCAAAUCGAUCCUCAACAGUCUCUAGUGUUCUACAUGUCCCUUUUUUAGAUGUUGGUCAUUAUACAAAAUACCAUUAACAAAAUUCAGAGGUGUUUUUUUGUGGGAAGGCCGAACCUAGUGCACAAGCUCUAUCAUGUGAACUAGACAUUUGUGUGCAGCCCACGGGAACUUGGUGGAUUAAGGCUGGUCGAUAUUGGCCUCAAGAAUAAGGCAUUGUUAAACAAAUAGUUGUGGCGCUUUGAAAACGAACCAGAAAGCCAAUGGAGAAAAAUUAUGGUGUAAAAACUAGGCGAACAACAUAAUGGAUUUUUGCCUAUCCCUGCAUAUGGUUCUAAAGUUUUUGCUGUCUGGAAAAAUAUAACUAAAUCUCUUACCAAUACAUAUGACUAUAGUAAUUAUGUUGGUGCAGAUAGGGUUUAAAUGGAAUUCAAGGAACCGACAAAAUUAACUUCAAGGUGAGCCUUUUAAUAGACACAAUCUUUAAGACUUAUUUCACCUCACCACUCUGUAUGUAAAAAGAGAAUAAUAUAAAUAGCCUUAAGGAUAUAAUGAAGCCAAUGUCUAAUUUCGUCUUACCCUUUACGAGAGUAGACCGCUAGAUACAGUCGAGGGUUUACAAAAUUGUUUAGCCUUAAGGCCUACUUUCUGCAGCAAUUUGAUUAUAAGGGAUUUGAAAGCUUUUGUAAUUGAUGGGAACUUAGGUGUUUAUGUUAAUAGAACACAACACUUUUCUUACUCUUGAUAUUUUUACUCUUGUUUUGUGUUUGACUUGAUGUCUCAAAAUGGUUAGCAAUAAGUCUUUUAUAUAGGUUUGCAAGUGUCUCUUCUUCAAGGACACAACCCUUUCAUUAAGGCACUAUUUUGUCUAAAAGAUAUCUUUAAAUUUUGCCAAAUACAACUUUUGGAUAAAAGUAUUGUUUCAAUAAUCAUCUUAUGAAAAAAUAACUAUUUAUUUCAUAAAAUAUAAUCUUUGAGUUAUAAAUUAAAACGAUAACUUUCUAUAUUUAACUUUUGAGCUAUGCUGUCUUUUCAAUUUGUCUCAUAACUUUUGAAUGUCAUUUUACCAAGAGACAUAACUAUUCACAUGAAAACAUGCCUAUAAUCCAAUAGACAUACUAUGUCACUUUAUGUGAUAUAAUUUUUGAUCUAAGAUAACUUUUCAUUAUAUGACAUAACCUUUGAUUUUGAAAAUAUACCAAUAAAUUAUAUGUUAGAUUGGUUGAGGUUAAGUAUUGGAAAUGGGGAACAAGCAAGGUUUUGGGACGACAAAUAGAUUGAAGGUUGUGUCCUCAGAUUUGCUUUUCCUAAAAUUUUUGCUUUCGUCACCACAAAAAACAAAAAAGGCUGAGUUGCUGAUUUUGGUGAGUAGAUUGGCGAUGAAUAGCAUUGGCAUGUUCAACUAAGGCGAUAGGUUUUUUGUUGGGAAAUGUAACAGUAUGAGCAUUUCAAGACAUUGUUAGAGAGCCAAAUUCUUGCAAUGAACUUUCAAGACGGACUUAUCUAGAAAGGUUGCUCCAAUGGAAAUUACAACUCCAGCUUUUUCUAUAGUCUUGUACUUCAUGACAAUUCGGCAAUUGAAGAGCAUUAGGAAAAAGCCUAGUUAAGCCUCGCUCCGUUUAAAACGAAAAUCUUCUGCUGGCAACUCUUUAAAAAGGGCAUUGUUGUUAAGGAUAACCUCAUGAAUAAAGGAAUUAUAAAUGAUGCAGUUAUUACAUGCCUCAUAUGCAAAAAAGAAAAAGAAAUGAUCAGUCCUCUCUUUUUUCAAUGUGAGCAUAAAUGGCCACUGUGCACCUACCCCGAAGGUAUUAAAGAAACACCAAAACCCACAAUAGGUUAAACCACCAACAGACAAGCUGAAAAUCAAUACUAAUGGUGCUAGUAAGGGUAAUCCCGAGGAAGCUGGAGUGGGUGCGAUCGUAAAUGAUCAUGGUGACAGUCAAGGGCGGACUCAAAAUUUUUUUGAGUGGUGUCAUUAAGAUGAUAUUCAAAAUUUUUGUUUCUUCGAUCCAGAAUCUACUAAAAGAGUACUUAGAUCAAAUUCAAUACGACUACUUAAAAGAAUAUUGUUGAGUAUCAUCAUUAGCAAAAUUUUGUUGUUGUUGCCUAUGAUCUGAUCUAAUCCUUAUGAGAAUUUUUUUUUCUUUUAAAAUAUCUUUCGAUGACCGAUUUAUCUAAAAUUAUAAAACUUGUUAAAAAUUACUACUCAUUAGUAUAUAUUAAAAUUAAAUAAAAUAUUAUCUCACAUAGGAAAUUAUCAGGUUCACCAACAAACAAUAUGACAAUUUUCUAUUCAUUGAUCAAAAACUAAAUAUAAGCAUCCACAAACCACAUAAAGUUAAUACAAAAAAUCAAAUAAUAUAUCUAUAAAAUAAAUAAAGAAAGAAAGACUUAUAAUUUCAAUAUAUUAUUUAACAUGCAAUACUAUUUUCUAUAAGUUAGAUUAUAAU
rnacentral:lncRNA from 1 species